rnacentral:lncRNA from 1 species
UUAAGCCAAUUCAGACAACUCCGGUCUUCUGCCCAAAAACUUCCUGAAAGAAUUGAUUUAUCGGCUUUCUUUUCUGCGAGUCUCGACUUCAAGUGGGAAUGAUUUGGUCCAAUGGUGAAGAUUUUUGGUAUGUGAUUGCGUAUAUGAGAUACUAUUGAUCCUUCUAGAUCUUCAAAAGUGUUAAAAAUGGCUGCUUGAGCUCUCGUGGUUUGUCUAGUCACAGAUUUCAUCAAUUGAAGGUUUGGCUCAUUGAUGUCGUUGACACGGCAAAAGCUGGGUAAGUCACGGAAUCUUAAAAAACCUUCCAUUCCCGGCAUACUUUUUACCAGUUGGUCCAUGCUAAUACCUUUAAAAUUCAUCAAGAAAAGAAAUUAUUUUCUACGGCACAUUUUCUUUUUAAUAAAAUAAUUUUGCAUAUAAAACUAAAAUAAAAUUUUCCUUUUUUCUAAGUAUAUUUUAUUUAAUAAAAAAAUAUUUUUUUUUUCAGAAAAUUUAUUAUGAAAAAUGAGGGUGAAACAGGUGCUAAAUAUCUUUAAACAGACAGGUUGACUAGAAAUCAGGAAAGCAAGUGGACACCUUCAACGGAAAUUUCACCGGCUUCAAUGAGUUCAGGUAUAGAAAAAUAAGCCCAAAAGGAGCAAGCACUAAUAGUCCGAAAAUAUAUGAGGGGAAUCCCUUUCUCUUCGGCAAAAUCACCGGCAAAUGGCAGGGACCCGUCAGCUAUGAUGCAAGAAAUUGGCCUUCGGGUUUCAGAAGAGAAAAAGUUCUUCUCAACCAUCAUCUGCUUGAAGAGUGGUGCCGUUGUGUUUUUGGUAGAAGGCAGGAUAUCCAUGACUUUCUCGCCAACUCGAGGAUGGUCAUCAGGAAGCCCAUCGGUGAUGGCCUGGAAACGGAAUCCAGGAUACUGCUUGAAACGCGAACCGACUGUGGUAUGCUUGAGGAGGCGGCUGUGGCUGAAAUCAGAGAUCAUGAAUGUAAUGUCAAGGCCAGAAAGACAGAGGAGUUCGGCUAGCAUGAGCAUGGAAUUCACAUGGCCCUGAAUUGGCACCGGAAAAAUGAGUACAUGAGGAGGGAGUGUGGCACCUUGAGAAUCCAUUAGCUUCUUCAUUCUUAUGUCGUUGUAAAUUUCAUAUCAACUCUGUGGAAAAACACAAGUAUUUAUGCAAUAAACCUACUAAUCAGAGUCUUGUAGACAGCUCCAGAUAACAAUAAGAGUUAAGCCAAAGGACCAGCGAGGAUAAUCUCGUCGGUGACCGCUACCUCACAUAUUUGGCGGGGGUACUUCAUGAAUAAAAUAAUUCUGACUCGUGUGUAUGUUGUGUCAAAUCUACAGUCAUUUAUGUGGACAUUAUAGCACGACAAUAAUUCACACGAGCUACCGCAAGACGUCACUGCAGACGUCAAAAUGUAGCUGGAGCAUUAGUUUAGACAUAACAUGUGCACCCGAGGUAUAAACGACAAAACUUCACGUGGCUCACUAGAUGUGACGUAUGACUGCAAAAUGUUGGUGGCACUUUUGGCACGAUUUGAUUCGAUUUGCUUUUUCAUUUUCAAAAGCUCAAGAAAAAGACGCUCAUUGUAAAAAGAUAUGGAAAAUACAGAAAAUAAUAUAAGCUAUACAUGUGAUCUAUCGGCAGUGAUCUUCGAUACAAGAUAAAUAGAUGGUAAAUUUAAAAAAUAACAUAAUCUAUACAAAAAUUUAUCGACAGUUAAUGAUACCAACAACUUCUUUGUCAAUGAUAGACCCCUGAAUGGUUGAUUCAAGCUCAUCUUUGUUGAACUCAAAAUCACGUGAGAUUAGGAUACUAAUUGAUCUUGCCACACAUUUCAUUACUUGUCCUUCUCCUACAAAAAAAAAAUACCCCAUUAGUGUGCAAAAGGUAGCUUUUCCAAAAGGUAGAUCUUCCAACAUUUAUACUCCGGCAAUCAAAUAAGUCAUUGAACUAAGCUUUCAAAAGGUAAACUUACACGACAAAUAGGUUAAUGGAGCAAACUAAUCAAAAGUGUGGCUAGGGGUUUUUUCGUUCUUCUUCUUUUUUUUUUUUUCUCCAUGAAAAAUAGCCAUUCAUAGGCCUUUCAAGGUUUAGGGUAUUAGUAUUUGUCAUGAGUCUUGGUGGAAAUUUCUUUUAGUUGCAUCAACAAAUAUUUCCUUUCUAUUGUUGAGAAUUUUCAUAAUGCCUUCUUCGAUGGAGAUUAAAAAUUAGAUUUUUAGUAAAGUUUGAUAAAAGUCAAUAAAAUGUGUGGUUGAAAAUUCGUGGAUACCAUAAAAUUUGUGACUAAAAUAAAUUGUUAACUUUGAAUUUAAUAAAAAUUUAAAUUUUAAUCCCUAUCAAAUAAGGGCAAAAUAUCUUAUGAAUAUGACUAUACGAGUCAUCAGCUUAGUGGAAGAGCUGUUACUUUCUACGAAUUUCUUACUAGCCCUAUUUUUUGGCCAAAAUAUAUUCUAAAAUAGUAUUUUGUUAAAGGAGGAGAUAAUUAGCACAAAACGUACAUACAUUUCAAUGUUUUUGUGUAAAACGUCCUUACCUUUUUUUUUUUUUUGGCAUUUUCACCACUAUUUUCAUCUUUCAUUGCGGAAAAGAUCAUUUUUAUCCAAUUCCUCAAUAAAAAAUGCAAAAUAACAAAUAUACCUUCAUGUUUAAAUAAAACAAAAAAAAAUGAAAAGAAAAAUUCAAGAUCAAAUUGCAGUUAUAUUCCCACACUUUUUAAAUAACUGCUAAUGAAUCCAAAUAAAUUAUUAAAAUGAUAAUUAGCAUAAAACGUCCAUAUAUUUCAAUAUUGUUGUGAAAAAUGUUCCUAUCUUUAUUUUUUUAAUAUUUUCACCCUUAUUUUCACAUUAUAUUGUGAAAAUCAUCAUUUUCUCAAUUGAAAGCUAUAAAAUGAUGAAUAUAUCUCCUAUUUAAAUAAAACAAAAAUAAAGAAAAGAAAAAUAAAAAAUAAAUUACAGCUAUACUCCCAAAGUUUUCAUAAAAGUACAAAUAAAUUUCUUUCUUCUUUUUCCUUUGACUUUUCUUGGUAUUUUUGUGGAACAUUAGAGCACAAGAAAGGGAAUUCAAUCAAGGAGUUGGAGAAAUUUUGGAAAACGACAAGAACAAGGGUUUUAUCAUCUUCCAAAAUAUACCAAAGGAGGUUCUAUCUCUUCUCUUGUGUUUAAUUAAUCCGCUCAUUCUCCAAAUUUGUAGUAAAUGUUAUGAAUACUCUCAUUUGUUAUCAUAUAAAUAAUAUGGACUAAUUUCUUGUGUUGGGAUUUAUGGUUGUAGCUUAACUUACUUGGAUUAAUUUCAAUAUCAUUUUCCUAAUGUUUGAAUACUUGUUUUCUUGUGUUUUUACUAUUGUAUUUUUUGCAUUUUCAUUUAUGUGGCCAAUGAAUGAUUAUGUUUGGUGAUUUGUAAUCAUUUAAGAGAAGAUUGUGUAUUUUAGAUCAAAUAGUAGAAACCCUAGGUGUGUAGAGGAUAGAAAUAUACUCAUAACUUUAGGUGACCUAUUGAGCUAUUUUCACAAAGGUUUAAUACGGUUGUUUGGUUUGAAUCAACAUAGAGGUGUAUCAGGUUAAAUCAAUCAAUUAUGGUUAAUUUCGCUCAAGAGUGGUAAUUAACUAAAAUUUAAAAAUUGGGUCUAACAAAAUAAAUGAAUAAUAUGUUAAUUAACUUGUUGAGAAAUUAAUUAGAUGACGGUCAAGUGAAACCAUAAAUCUCUAUCACGUUUUCCUCUGAAAUUCCCAAAAUUUUUUUAUUUUCUUAUUUUGUAGAUUUUUAGUUAUUUUCCAAAAUCAAAAUCUUUAUUGUGUGUUUGUUUUCAUUGUUAGAAUUAAAUUGAUUAAAAUUGUAUAAUCGAAAGUAUACAUUCCUCGAGAAAUCGACAACUCAAACUCAAAAAGUCCACUUUAUUACUUGAACGUGACCCGUGCACUUGCAGCAUACAAUUUGAAUGACCAACAAUCAACAGGUAGAAUUAUUGGUAAAAUAGUAGAAUGAAGGCCUGUUCAUUGAUACUGUUAGUAGGAAGAAAGACGUAAAUCAAAUGCGGAUUACUCCUAUCAAAAUCUCAAAUAAUGACGUCACUAAUUUGGCUAAAUCUAUGAUAGCGAAAUCCUUGAAUGUGAAUGGAGUAAGUGCUAAGACAACAAGUAAUGAAAAGCUCAAAGCAAAUACUGACGAGAAAAAAAAAAUUGGUGGCUACUAAAGACAAAAAUAAAGGAAUUUUCCUUGCUUCAACAUCAUAAAGAUUUGCACUUGGAACAUUAGGGACUUGUACCCUUCCCUCAAAGAAAAUGGAGUUUUCGAAAACAAAGUUAGGUGAACCGAAAUUAGAUUGGUUCACGAGGAAUAAAUUUGGUGGUUUAUCGCAAAUCAUCAACUUUUCUACUCAUCAAGCUAGCCGGAUAUUGGUUUUGUGGAACUUUUUGAAAUUUAGCUUGUAAGUGCUUGAGACUACCACGUAGGUUAUCCAUUGUUCCGCAACUUGCAAGGUUAGAUCGCUCACUUUUCUUGUUAUCUUUAUAUAUGGUUUUCAUACUAUCCCUAGCCGUAGACCGCUAUGAAAUAGCAUCUUGGAGUUUAGCUUAUAUUGCUCUUUGCUAUGGCUGAUUAUGGGGGAUUUCAGUAAUGUGCUUAAAUUUGAAGAAAAUAGUAAUGGUACGUAUGUUACCCCGUACGAGGUAAAAAACUUUGAGAGUUGUUGACUUAGUCUUGGACUUAUGUAUAUGAGAUCCAUUGGUUGUUUUUACACUUGAACAAAUAACUUGGUUUGGAGCAAGCUUGAUAGGGCAUUGGUGAAUGAUGUUUGAUUACAAAUGGGGUUUAAUAGCUUGGUUCAUUUUCUUCUAUCAGGGUGAUUAUCCAAUCAUUCUCCAUGCACUGUCUCACUUUUUGGCCAAGAGGAAAAUAAGAGAAAGUUGUUUAGAUUUUUCAAUACGUGGACUAAUCAUGGUAGCUUCCAAGAGGUUGUGCAAAAUUAUUGGCAACAAGAGAUUACGGGUAAGAAACAAUUUACGCUUUGCAAGAAGUUACAAAGUCUUAAAGGGGAGCUCAAAAAGCUUAACGAUGAGCGCUUUUCACAUGUUUCCAUGAGAGCUAAAAUGGCUACCACGAAGUUAGAGAGGCACAAUUGGAAUUGUAUGAUAACCUCAUAAUAUUGAACUUCAAAGUAGGGUGACAUGCAAGAGAAAAGUAUCCAUUGAUUUGUGUGAAGCGAAGAGGAGUUUCUACUAUCAAUAAGCUAAGUGUGAAUACCUAAAGUAUAGUGACUAAUGCACUAAGUUCUUUCACUCAAUGGGUCAAGAGGAAUAUUAAAAAGAAUUUCAUUGCUACUGUGCUUAAAGGGAAUGGAUGGAUCAUAUACUAUCUCAUUGGAAGAAGUGGCCAAUGAAUUCCUUCGUUUCUAUAGAUAUUUACUAAGGAAGAAUUUUUCGGGACAUCCUAUUGAUGUUGACAUCAUGAAGAGUGGUUUCUUGUUAUCGAAAGAGAUUACUUUGGCCCUAGGUCGAGACAUUUUCGAGCAAGAGAUCAAGGAGGCAUUGUAUAGCAUCAGGGAUGAUAAGUCACCAGGGCCAAAUGGACACACUUUUUGUUUCUUCAAAAAGUCAUGGGAUAUUGUUGGUCAUGAGUUCAUGGGAGAGGUGAAAGAAUUCUUUGCUCUAGUUCUUUUCUUAAGCAAAAUAACCACACGGUUAUUGCAUUGGUUCCUAAGAGUAAUCACUCUAUCUCAGUGGGAGAUUAUAGACCAAUUGCUUGUUGUAACGUGUUUCAUAAGGUUAUUACCAAGAUCCUCGCUUCUGGGUUAAAAAUAUACUUGGGACGAUUGUUGACCAAACACAAGUCACAUUUGUGGAAGGUAGAAGUAUGACAGAGAAUAUCCAUCACGCCCAAGAGCUUUUGAGACAAUAUAUCACAAGAGUGUGCUUCAAGGUUUGGAAUUUCCAAAUAAAUUCAUUGAUUGAGUGAUGGAAUGUGUUACCACACCGGCGUGUUCUAUUGCUCUUAAUGGUAGUCUUCAUGAAUUCAUCAAAGGGAAAAGGGGCUUCGUCAAAUGGACCUUCUCUCUACUUUCUUAUUUGUGAUUUGCCUUUAAUACUUCUCGAGGAUAUUGAAGCGUGCAACCGAGAAUAGUGAGUACAAUUUUCACCUAAAUGUGGUUCCUUAAAGAUUACUAUUUAGCAUUUGCAGACAACUUAACACUAUUCUCUAGAGGUGAUAAAAUUUCGGUAGGCAUCUUGAUGGAUUGUUUAUCUAAAUUUGGAGACAUUUCGGGUCUUAGAAUGAGUGUUGAUAAAUCUAGCUUGUACAUAGUGGGUGUCUAUGGGCAAGAGCUUGAGAACAUUUAUGGAUUUACUAGUAUGCCCAUAGGAUCUAUGCCUUUUAGACACUUGAGUAUUCUCCUAGCAGAAGAAAAGCUUAAAAUCAGUUCUUAUGAUUCCUUUCUCAACAAAAUUUAGGUCUACAUUUGUGCUUGGUCUAGAGAAACUUUGUCCUAUGCUGGGAAAGCGAAACUUGCUAGAGCUGUCCUUCAAGGUGUUGAAUAUUUUUGGCUCUCUAUCUUUCCUAUUCUAGCUAUAGUUAUUUCAAGGGUCAUUGGUCUAUGUUGGAAUUUCUUUCAGGGGUCUAAGAGACCAUUGGUCGCCUGGAACAACAUUUUCUUACCAAAAGAUGAUGGAGGACUUGGUUUCAAAGAUUUGAAAUGUUGGAAUUCAGCCCUACUGUGAAAGUCACUGAGGAAUAUUCAUAGAAAGAAUGACUCACUUUGGGUCAAGUGGAUUAACAAUGUGUACUUAAAGGGAAUAGAUUUAUAGGAGUGUGUUGCCCACAAAGAAGACUCGCCUUUGAUAAAGAGGCCGCUGAAAAUCAGAGGCCAACUCACUGGACCUGCUGGGAACACACGGGUUGCUGGAAUGGAUAGAAUCUAGUAACUUUUGAAUGGAUAGGGCUUACGGGUUUUUCAAACAAGCUAGGGUAAAGAGGACAUGGACACCUGAAGUUUGGAGAUCGUACAUUACUCCUAAACACUCAUUCAUCCUUUAGCUGGGAGUGCAAUCCAAAUUGCUUACUAAUGAUAGGCUAUCAUAUCAAACAUUGAUGGAACUUGUGGAUUCAGUGGUUUGCAAGAGGAAACUGCCAACACUUAUUUCUCUAACAAUCUUUCUCCUUUCAUGUUUGAAAGAAUAUUGAGGUCUGGUUGGGCAUUAGAAGAGCAAUGACUGCCAUUGCUAGUGCAUUGAUAGAUAUAAUGGAAUUGUAUGUUUGGUAAUGCAUUGAUGGUUGGGCAGUGAAGAAGAAAUGAAAAAAAAUAAGAACUGCUUUAUCAGAUAGGAAGUAAAGAAUUACAUUGAUGAAUGCCAAUUGAUGUAGUUACUGAAAAUUUUGAUCUUGCAGUUUCUUAAAUUUACACCAAACCAAUAUCUCAUAGGUCAUAUGAGGCUACUGAAAUAAAGCAAGAGAUGAUUUUCAAAAGAAAGCGUUCAUUUGUCACUUUUUAAUUCCAAAUCCAAUUUUUUUUAAGAAAAAUCGAUAAAUACUCCAAACACUGAAUAAUCAGCCAACAAUAAUCAACUCUAUAUGUGAAUCAAGUACAACAACAGUUACUUAAAAUGUUUGGUUUUCAAUUGCAACAAGAAUAACAUUUUUCCAUAUAAUGACAAGUAUCAUGAACAUAAAAUUUUGUUGACAAUCAAAUGGAUUUGCCAACAGUGAAUGGAUGACUACAGAUGCUUCAAUAAGAGUGCAAUUCUAACCAACACAUAAGAGAUAAAGAGGUAGCUCAGCAAAAAUCUUAUCGUAACAAGCAAAAUGAAACUAAAACCUAAAGAUCGACGAUCGACAAUGGUGACUUCGACGGUUGGAGAACUCAUUUGGAUCAACACUGACAACCGAAGAUUGGAGCCUCAAUGUUUGAAAUACAUAGCAUCAACAAAUCCAAUUAAAAAAAAUUGAGAAUCUGAUCACGAGAAAAGAUAUAAAAAGGCAACUCAGGCAGAAAUCUUUCUGUAACCAGCAAAACGUGACACGAAAGAAGGAUUUCAGAUCGAGGACGAAGAUUUUGGUGGUUGGAGAGCUCGUUUGAUUAAUCGACAACCAAAGAUUCAGAUUUAGGAUUAGUGGAGAGAGAGACAGAGAGCUACAGAUCGGGGGCGACGAUUUGGGUGUUUGGAGAGCUCGUUUGGUUAAUUAACAAGCAAAAUUUCAGAUUUAGGACUAGUGGAGAGGCAAAGAGCUCAUUGAAGAUUGGAUCAUAUGGAAUUGCAAAUGGGUACAUAGUUAAUCAAACCAAUAAGCCCAACUAGAAAUAGAGAGUGGAAUUUUUGUAAAUAGGUACACUGUUAAUGUAACCAAUAAGCCUAAAAAAUAAUUGGUCGGUUCAAUUUGCAUUUAAUGAAUGAAUUGACAUUAUUACCUUUUCAAAUUUGUAGUAUAGGUUAUGUGUCAAAUUUCUAUUUGCCAACAUUAUUUUUAAUUAUAUAAAAAGUUUGUCUUUCUUGUGGAAUUUCAAAUUGUUACUAAGGGCAUUUUGGUCUAAUUUUUUGUCAAAAUGGACAUGAGACGGAUUUAGGACAUUUUUGCAAAUGACCAUUGAAAAGUGGACAUUUUUUUGCAAUUUCUUCUAUAUUUAUUGUACAUUUUUUUUUUUUUUCAAAUAGAAGCCAAAAAAAAUUCAAACCUUCGAAUAGAAACUCUAUGGAUCAGAAGAAUUUAAACCUAAAUCAAACCAUCACUCUUUUUACCAAAAAAUCACUGAAGACUCUUAAACUCAUAAAAAUAUUCUUGGGAAAGUGGCUACAAAUCUUGGGAAAAUCCCUUCCAAACAUGCGCAUAAUUUAACAAUUCUUACUCGAUUAUUGUCUUUAUCACAAUCAGUCUUCCCGCUUUGAUUUUCCACUUCUUAAAAUCUUGGUCAUCCUUUUGUGGUGUGACAUCACCGUCGUUGACUACAUCCCACAAGUUUUGCCCCUAGAAAGAUGACUCGAUGCACAUUUGCCGCAUGGUGUAGUUUUAAUUAUUUAACUUCUUAAUUCCACAUAUUACCUUAAUGUCGUCCAGCAUGACUUGAUUAACCCCCUCGUUACCAAGAAAAUUUUAUAGAAGCUUCACAAUCUCAAUUUGUGUGUGAUCUUAAAAAGCUUAAAAAGUCUGUCCUUUGGUUGCCUUGCUCUUACCAAAUUGACGAUUUUAAUCAACAAAAUAUUAUUUUAUUCACAAAAGGCUCUUAUACAAUUUGGAUAUACACACCAAGGACACUAAUAAGUAUAACAUUAUUCAUUUAAGGGAACACCUAGCACUCUCGUCACUAUCAUACUCAAUUUACUGAUCUCCCUCAUCAAUUCAUACAUGCACAAUAUCCUAUUUAUAGGAAUUCAAAUAUUUGGUGGUAGGAUAGGGAUGGGACAGGGCAGGGCUGGGAUGAAUAUUUUUGAAAGUGCUUUUAGUGGAGUUGACAUUAAAUCAACUUCCUCUAAAAAAUCUUCUAAAAGCACUUUCAAAAAUAUUCAUCCAGGAAAAGAUUUAAAAGAAAUUGAAAAAUUUGAUGAUAUAUUCAGGGCAGAAGUUUCAAAAUUUGCCCAAGGGAGAUCGAUUUAUAUCAAAUUUUAUUCAAUAAGUCCCGAAGUUGAUGGAAGGAUAUAUUAUCCUGCUGAACAUAUCAUUACAAUUGGAUAUGUUGGCCGAGAUUUCCAGAUUGAAGUUGGCCGAAAUAAUAAACCAUUGCCAAAAAUCAAUAGAUCAUGGAUAAAAUCCCGGAGAGUUUUGGGGAUGAAAGUUCUUUACAACAUUGCAAAGAACUUAUAUGAUAAAAAAUUCAGAUGCUUGUGCCAAUAUGAAGGAUGGACACUCCUUACAAACAAUGGAAAAGAAAAAUCUACCAUUUUGAAAGAAUAUAUCCAAAAAUUUGAUACCCAUCAAAUUAGUGGAAGUCCAACAACAAUUCAAGAAUCAUGCAGAUUGAGGGAUGGAAAAUAACCUACCACUACCAAAGCAUCUGGCCAGCUGUGUAUAAAGACAAAGAUGGAAAAGCAAUAAUAAAAAGCAUCUAGCCAGUUGCACAUGAAGCCAAAGACGAUAAGGCAAUAAUAGGAGAAAAGAUGCCACUCAGAUGAAAAAGCAAAAAAUGCAUGUGGAGAUGUAGACCCCAGAAGAAAAAGAAUAGAGAGGCAUGUGAGCCUUUUCAAAAUUAUGAUGUAUGCAAUGAUGUAAUAGAUCAAUAAUAGCAAGUUUGAGUCAUGUAUAAAUAGAGGUCCUUGGGGAAAGAAUGGGGCAUCUCGAGUUAGAAACCAUUCUCUUUCCUUAAGCUUUUCAAAACCAGUUUUUCUGGAAACCCCUUGUAUACAAUAGAAAUCUUGUAUAAAUCAUUAUAGAAAUAAAAUUCCAGUCUUUUGAUAUCAGAAAAAAUAUGAGUUUCUAAACUUCCUAUCCCAUAGAUUCUUGAUAGAUUGAAGAAGAUAAUCUCUUUCUUACUUUAACAAAGAGAGAAUUUUCUUUACUUAAGAUCUUUACUCUUAAUUCUAAGAAAAGAUACAGUGAGGGCAAGAAGCUGAAAUAGCAGAAUUCCCAUUGAGGCAAAAGGCCGUUUGAGGGAGCAGUUUGCAGAUUCAGAGCCUGAAGGUCACUCGGUUCUAAGAAUACAGAUUUAAGAUCAAGAGCAAGGUAAAAUUAUUGUUUUUGUUAAAUUUAGAAAGAACUCUUCUAAUAUCUUGAAAGAAUCGUAGGGAUUAUUACUUUUUAUGUUUGCAAAAAACUUUUCUAACAUGUUAUUAUUAUUCAUAAAGUUUGCAAAUUACCAAUUAGGCAAUUACCAAACGAAUCGAAGCAGUGCAAACAAGGAGAAGCAAGACGCGCCAUUCCCGAUCAUUCUCCAUUUCUCCACCUUUCCUAGCUCGAUUUGCGAAGUUGGUCGCCGACUACAGACUGGAAGCCUUGGACGGACCUCCUGUGGCCACUGGCUCUGACUUUGUGAACUAGGGUGAGCACCUUUUUCCUUCUAUCGUUCUCGUUUUUGUUUUAAUUUUUUGCUUUUUUUAAUUUUCCUUCUAUGACAAAGAAAUGAGAAUUGUGAAUUUGUGAUUUAUGAUAAAGAAUUUAUGUUGUAUGAGUUUUGAGUUAUGAUUUAUCAUUUAUCAUUUAAAAGUUUUGAUUUUGAUUUGGGAAUUUAGGUUUAGGAAAUUAGGGAUAUGUGAAAAAAAUUAAUGGAGAAGAUGAUGGGCUCAAUUGAACCAUGUGUAUUAAGCUAUAUUUUUAUAUGUAUAAAAUUUUCGUGUUAGUGCAUUUACAUAUUUGUUGAAAAAAAUUUAAUAUUAUUUAAUGAAAUAUUAAUAACGACAUCGUGAUUGUCACCAGUCAAAAAGGUCCAACGGUCAACUACCCUAACUGACCUCCGAUCUUGGAUUCGCCACUGGUUAAUAUCUAGGUGGUUAAUAUUCAAUAAAUGAGGGAAAUGAUGGACCACUAUGAUAUUCAAAAUAUUAACAGCACUACCUGGCUAGAAGAAAGACCAACAUGGGCACAACUAACAUAUAAAUUAAUAGAGUACUUCAAAUUUAAAAUAGUUUAAUAAAUAAGUGUUGUUAUUCUGAAACUGUAAUGUUAUUGGAAUGAUUAAUACCAAAUCUUCUUGACAAAAAAUGGAAGUAUCAACAAACACACAAUAUAAAGAGGUAUAGGAAGAAAUAUACCUAAAUACUGACAAUUAUAGAACAAACGAAAGCAUAAGUCUCACUUAAAACCGAGUUUACUGAUUGUAUAAUUCAACUAUCUUGAAUUUCCGUUUUCCUUUCAUAGCAAGAAAGUUUGAAAACAUCAGAUGAUCAUUGUUUUGAUGUAGUCAAUAAGAGCAUUCAAAUUGCUAUACGAUGAUCCACCUUCACUAACAGCCUUUCUUGCAAGCUUUGCCAUAUUUUCUGACCUUUCCAAGAACUCAUCCUUCCUUUCUUCCAUAAGCUCUCUGACUGCUUUCUCAAUAAUUUCUCUAUCACAAGUAUCUUUUAUGUCUAACCCAAUCUUCCAAACCUCACUCACAAACCUACUGUUAGUUGUUUGAUCACCAAAAUAUGGCCAACAAAUCAUUGGCACACCAACUACAAUACUCUCCAGAGUCGAGUUCCAUCCACUGUGAGUCAAAAACCCACCCACUGCCUCGUGGUUCAGAACUUCUUCCUGAGGAGCCCAUCCUACCAUGUAACCCCUGGCCUUCGUACCCUCCUCUAAUUCUAUUGGAGUUUGAUUCUUCCCAUCUUCCCCUACAAUUGAAUCUGGUCUCAUGACCCACAAGAACCUCUGUCCACUAUUCACCAAUCCAUGCCAGAACUCCAAUAGCUGCUCUCUUGUCACAACUGUAAUGCUUCCAAAACUAACGUAGAUUACUGAAUUUGACGGCUGUGCAUUAAGCCAAUCCAGACAACUCCGGUCUUCAGCCCAGAAGCUUCCUGAAAGAACUGAAUUAUCGACCUUCUUCUCAGCCAGUCUCGACUUCAGGUGGGAAUGAUUUGGUCCAAUGGUGAAGACUUUUGGUAUGUGCUUCUGUAUAUGAGAUACUAUUGACCCUUCUAGAUCUUCAAAAGUGUUAAAAAUGGCUGCUUGCGCUCUCGUGGUUUGUCUAGUCACGGAUUUCAUCAAUUGAAGGUUUGGCUCAUAGAUGUCGUUGACACGGCAAAAGCUGGGCAAGUCACGGAAUCUUAGAAAACCUUCCAUUCCCGGUAUACUUUUUACUAAUUGGUCCAUGCCAAUACCUGCAAAAUUCAUCAAGACAAGAAAUUAAAUAUCUUUACACCUCUUUUUGACUAAAUUAAAACAGAUUGUUUUACUAGAAAUCAGAAAAGAAAGUGGAUACCUUGGACGAAAAUUUCACCAGCUUCAAUGAGUUCAGGUAUACAAAAGGAAGCCCAAAAGGAGCAAGAACUUAUAGUACGAAAAUAUAUGAGGGGAAUCCCUUUCUCUUCAGCAAAAUCACCGGCAAAUGUCAGGACCCCAUCAGCUAUGAUGCAACUAAUUGGUCUUCGGGUUCCAGAACCGAAUAAAUUCUUCUCUGACAUCAUCUGCUUGAAGAGUGGUCCUGUUAUGUUUUUGGUUGAAGUCAGGAUGUCCACGACUUGCUCGCCAACUCGAGGAUGGUCAUCAGGAAGCCCAUCGGUAAUGGACUGGAAAUGGAACCCAGGAUACUGCUUGAAACGCGAAACGACUGUGGUGUGCUUGAGGAGGCGGUUGUAGCUGAAAUCAGAGACCAUGAAUGUAAUGUCAAGGCCAGAAAGACACAGGAGUUCGGCUAGUUUGAGCAUGGAAGUCACAUGGCCCUGAACUGGCAACGGAAAAAUGAGUACAUGAGGAGGAAGUAUGGCACCUUGAGAAGCCAUUAGCAAAAACAAAAAAAUUGUAAUGAAAUAAGGAUAUUGCUGUUGCCAAUAUUUGUCACGUUCCCUAAUGUAGUUUAUGCAAUAAUGCAACUAAUCAGAGUCUUGCGGCAGAGAACAUCAAGUACUUUGUCCUACUAGCACAAGAAUCACAUCUAAGAAAACAUAAGACGCCACUGAUGACGUCAAAAUGGAUUAAGAUAGAAUUGUGCUCCACCUCACAAUAGUACAUGUGGGGGACCACAUGUGAGGGGUCCCCAUGUGAGGGGGCCGUAUAAGAUGUCACUUGAGACUUCAAAAUUUGGGUGGCACUUAUGGCAUGGUUUGAUUCUGUUUGCUUUUCUUUUCUUUUAUUUUCUUUUCUUUAUUUAUUUAUUUUUUAUUUUUGGAAUCAAGAAAACAACAAAAUGUUAAGCCCCUAUUUUGUAGAGACUAAAAUCAGAGUUUUAGAAGAUUUUGAUAAAAAUUGAUGAAAUGUGUGAUUAAAAAUUUGCAGAUCUCAUAAAAUAUGUAGUUAAAAUUAAUUGUUGAGUUUGAUUUAAAUUAAAAUCUAGAUUAUAAUUCCUAUCAAAUAGGGAGCUAUAUUGUAGCGAAAAUCUCUCGAUAAAUCUUGAUUCCAAACUCAGAAAACAAUCAAACGAACACCGAUUUACCUUAACUCGACCCAAGACUUUCGCCUUUACUUUGGACUGCCCAAACUCUCUUAAACCCCACAAAAGGAGAAGGGAUGGUGGUGGUAAUAGGAAGGAGAAGAAGAGGCAACAAUGGUAGGAAUCACUCCAACAAACCCUCCAAGCCGACUGCCCCUCAACCCUCUCGGCCCUCUCUUACUCAAGGCCCUCUCUUCCACACACACCCACUCAAUACCAUAGAGAAAACGAUUGGGAAUAUAUAUGGAUAUAUGUAGCAUAGGUUAGACACACAAUUUGGGCCAAAAACUUGUGCAAAAGGGCGUCUUAAAACCUAAACUAAUGGGCUACCAAUUAAUCCAACCCACAAUCUACUAAUUCAACAAAUACCCUAAAGCCCAACACUUACCAAGAUUUGGGCCAUCCAAAAGUGUAGUUCGUCUUCAAGCUGAGUCAAGUCCAUGGUGUCGAUAAAUAAUCCGACAACUGUUUUAAAUCACCACCAAGAUUAUUGGAUAUCAAAAAAUUCAACAAUCUCCACCUUGAUGCCCAAUAAUCUGCAAUCAACCAAAACACACAGUUUAUACUUACACAAUCAAGGUAAUCCAAUAAAAUUAGAAUCAUAGACCUUACCUUGUGUUUCGAACCGAAAUACAUAUCAUACUUGUUCCAUGUACUCACCAGGGCUAAGGUCAAGAAUACCCAAGUAAAAACAAGUAUUCACAAUGAACAAACAAUCAUGCGAUGAAGAUAUAGAGGAUAACACACACACAAAUCUUUUCAAAAGCACGUUCACAUAGAAGCACAGAUUAACACCUAGUUAAUCAACACACGGUCACGCACGUAUGCAACAAAUGCAUAAAUGACCCAGAUCGCACCACACUUAUCAUAUCCCAUUCCGUGUUACUCCCACCUUGAGAACACAUAUAUCUUCUCAUCGCCCAUCAUGCUCGCUAAACAGAUCACUUAACUCAUGUAUAACUGGUAAGUCACAAUAGAUCCUAAGCUCUCGGGAUAAUCCUCUAUCACCACAUCACUUCUCGCAACCUACGUAGAUAAUGGGACUCCACCUUACAAAAGUGAUAGAAGUAUCUCUCUCACACUCCACCUGUACAGGGUCUCUUUCACAGAUAAAGGAUUCUACAUAUUUGAUCACAUCUCCACUCGUGAUACAAAUGUCAAACUCUACAUCCCCUGGUGCAAAACACCAUGUACCCCUAGGCAUCUAUACUCCAACUUAACAAAAGAACUAGCUACUAAUGCAUCUCAAACUCACUAUGGCAAAUCAACACCUUUCCGCGACCACAAAGGUUACUCCAAUCACCAAUGCUCCAAAAUCCACAAAGGAAUGGUGGCACUUACAAAGAGAAUAGAAGAAAGAUUCGGUUACUUCACCACACUCACAAAGGAGGCUCAAAAAAAGAGAAAGAAGAUAACCCAAAAAUGGCUGCCUCACACGAUCUCACAAACCACACAAACUCACAAAGAUAAAGGAGAACGGUUGCCCAACUUUUUUCUCACUACCACAUUCUCGCAACACUCACAGAGCAAAUAGAGUAUGCCAUAAAUCUCAGCCCACUAUGCAUGCAAAUGUAUUACACAACGUAAUAAGAUCACCAUCAAUUCAUGCAAUUACACAUAUCAAACAUAUUGAAAAUGUAACACAUCAACAUUGCAGCAGAAUAAGUGAUCACAUACAUUCAAAAAGAAUUACACACGAAUGCAAUGCAAUAACGAGGUUUACUCUCUCAAUAAACCUCACUGGGUCAUCACUCNNNNNNNNNNNNNNNNNNNNNNNNNNNNNNNNNNNNNNNNNNNNNNNNNNNNNNNNNNNNNNNNNNNNNNNNNNNNNNNNNNNNNNNNNNNNNNNNNNNNNNNNNNNNNNNNNNNNNNNNNNNNNNNNNNNNNNNNNNNNNNNNNNNNNNNNNNNNNNNNNNNNNNNNNNNNNNNNNNNNNNNNNNNNNNNNNNNNNNNNNNNNNNNNNNNNNNNNNNNNNNNNNNNNNNNNNNNNNNNNNNNNNNNNNNNNNNNNNNNNNNNNNNNNNNNNNNNNNNNNNNNNNNNNNNNNNNNNNNNNNNNNNNNNNNNNNNNNNNNNNNNNNNNNNNNNNNNNNNNNNNNNNNNNNNNNNNNNNNNNNNNNNNNNNNNNNNNNNNNNNNNNNNNNNNNNNNNNNNNNNNNNNNNNNNNNNNNNNNNNNNNNNNNNNNNNNNNNNNNNNNNNNNNNNNNNNNNNNNNNNNNNNNNNNNNNNNNNNNNNNNNNNNNNNNNNNNNNNNNNNNNNNNNNNNNNNNNNNNNNNNNNNNNNNNNNNNNNNNNNNNNNNNNNNNNNNNNNNNNNNNNNNNNNNNNNNNNNNNNNNNNNNNNNNNNNNNNNNNNNNNNNNNNNNNNNNNNNNNNNNNNNNNNNNNNNNNNNNNNNNNNNNNNNNNNNNNNNNNNNNNNNNNNNNNNNNNNNNNNNNNNNNNNNNNNNNNNNNNNNNNNNNNNNNNNNNNNNNNNNNNNNNNNNNNNNNNNNNNNNNNNNNNNNNNNNNNNNNNNNNNNNNNNNNNNNNNNNNNNNNNNNNNNNNNNNNNNNNNNNNNNNNNNNNNNNNNNNNNNNNNNNNNNNNNNNNNNNNNNNNNNNNNNNNNNNNNNNNNNNNNNNNNNNNNNNNNNNNNNNNNNNNNNNNNNNNNNNNNNNNNNNNNNNNNNNNNNNNNNNNNNNNNNNNNNNNNNNNNNNNNNNNNNNNNNNNNNNNNNNNNNNNNNNNNNNNNNNNNNNNNNNNNNNNNNNNNNNNNNNNNNNNNNNNNNNNNNNNNNNNNNNNNNNNNNNNNNNNNNNNNNNNNNNNNNNNNNNNNNNNNNNNNNNNNNNNNNNNNNNNNNNNNNNNNNNNNNNNNNNNNNNNNNNNNNNNNNNNNNNNNNNNNNNNNNNNNNNNNNNNNNNNNNNNNNNNNNNNNNNNNNNNNNNNNNNNNNNNNNNNNNNNNNNNNNNNNNNNNNNNNNNNNNNNNNNNNNNNNNNNNNNNNNNNNNNNNNNNNNNNNNNNNNNNNNNNNNNNNNNNNNNNNNNNNNNNNNNNNNNNNNNNNNNNNNNNNNNNNNNNNNNNNNNNNNNNNNNNNNNNNNNNNNNNNNNNNNNNNNNNNNNNNNNNNNNNNNNNNNNNNNNNNNNNNNNNNNNNNNNNNNNNNNNNNNNNNNNNNNNNNNNNNNNNNNNNNNNNNNNNNNNNNNNNNNNNNNNNNNNNNNNNNNNNNNNNNNNNNNNNNNNNNNNNNNNNNNNNNNNNNNNNNNNNNNNNNNNNNNNNNNNNNNNNNNNNNNNNNNNNNNNNNNNNNNNNNNNNNNNNNNNNNNNNNNNNNNNNNNNNNNNNNNNNNNNNNNNNNNNNNNNNNNNNNNNNNNNNNNNNNNNNNNNNNNNNNNNNNNNNNNNNNNNNNNNNNNNNNNNNNNNNNNNNNNNNNNNNNNNNNNNNNNNNNNNNNNNNNNNNNNNNNNNNNNNNNNNNNNNNNNNNNNNNNNNNNNNNNNNNNNNNNNNNNNNNNNNNNNNNNNNNNNNNNNNNNNNNNNNNNNNNNNNNNNNNNNNNNNNNNNNNNNNNNNNNNNNNNNNNNNNNNNNNNNNNNNNNNNNNNNNNNNNNNNNNNNNNNNNNNNNNNNNNNNNNNNNNNNNNNNNNNNNNNNNNNNNNNNNNNNNNNNNNNNNNNNNNNNNNNNNNNNNNNNNNNNNNNNNNNNCCUUUUAAUAAUUUAUUUGGACUCAUUUGCACUUUUUAAAAAAUUUUGGGAGUAUGAUUGAAAUUUUAACUUUUAACUUUUUCUUUUCCCUUUUAUUGUUUUAUUUAAAUAUGGGGUAUAUUUGUCAUUUUACACCAGAAAUUUGAUGAAAAUGAUGAUUUUCACGAUAAAAUAUGAAGGUAAGGGUAAAAGUGUCGAAAAAUGAAAGAUAUUGACUUUUUGCACAAUAACAUUAAAAAGUAUGAAUGUUUUAUGCUAAUUACCCUUAUUUCAAAUAAAUUUGUUCUUCUUCACGAACGACAUUCUUUAAGAAUACUAAUAUGUAAUAUUUUUGCUUCUUCUGGAACAAUAUAUCAUCUUCUAAAAUAUUGAAAUUUUAAUAACAUGCUCUUCAAAAGUAGAUAAUUCCAUUUGGAACAUUUAUAUAGGAUGGGUUGUGUUUCUCUAGAACAACAAUACCAUAUUCAUUUAAUAUAAGCUCUUGUUUGUCAAUCAUUCUCUCACAUUUUACCACAUUAUUUUUUUUAUAGUACUUAUUUCCAACUCACAUUCUCCAUUAAAAUAAUAUUACACAUAUAUCAAAAAAAUUUCCUUCUUUUUUAACCACACAUUUCAACAUCAAUCACUAUUCCAUACUCCAAUUUUUGAAAUUAAAGGGCUACAAACAUGGCUUAAAUAUAAUUUCUAGUAAUGUUUUUUCAGGGGCACAAGUUAAAUCAAAAUAUUUAACCAAUCUAAAAAAUCACAUAAUAUAUAAUAGAAAUAGAAAGACUUCUAAAAAAUAUACUUACGUGAAUUUGAAAGUUUUAGAAAUUCUUGCAUAGUUGACAAAUCUUAUAUUCUUUAAAGAUACAAUUUUUAAAAAAAUAAAAUAAAUAAAUUAUAGUACUUAAAAUAUAAUAUUGUUCACAUAGCUAUUUUCUCACAAAUGAACCGUUGGAUUUUAAUAGGAAUCUUUGGAUUUGAAGCAAAACGAGUUGUGAACAUUUUAUCCAAAUUUCAUGAUGAUCGAACAAUGACACACAGAGAUAUCAACGUUUUGUCAUAACAGUGCAGGCUGUCCAGAUUUUGUGAAUUUCUGCACUAUUGAUUCCGAAAUAAUAGUGCAAUUAUUCCAUAGUGUAUAGAAUCACUAUAGAAUUAACAAACUUCAAGUUUGUGAUAAUGUCAAUUUUAUGAAUUUAGAGUACAUGCUAAAAGGGAGUGCUAAUAAUUUUUCUUUUGUCUACUUCUAGCCAUAUACAAAAGAAAUAUAAAGAUAUUCUAUAUUAUUUUCUUGUAUUAUCUCAAUGUCAUAUUAAUUGCAGCUGAUAUUUUAACUAGGCAAAUUUUUUCUGAAUUGGCUAAAAUAAAGUACAUCGUUAAUAUAUAAUUUUGUAUUAUUUGAUAAAAUAAUACAUGCUCUUCCGAAACUUUCAACGAAUUGGAUGCAACUGAUGUCAUAUUAACAUUAUUUUUACUAUUAUUAAGUCCAGAAAAUACUUUUUGUUUUGGAGAAUUGUUCGCAUUUUUGCACUAUCAAAUAAGCAUGUAUAAUGACAUUUCAUCUCCAAUUUUGUGAUGUAUACCAUUUGAGUAACUUUACAAUAAAAUACAAUUAAUUUUGAAGAUUAUGAUAAUAUUGUAUAAUCAUAUAAUAAUCAAUUAAGUGUUCAAACAAGUCAAUGUCAACAUGACAUUAAUUAUAUGUUUUUUUUUCGAGGAUAAACACUAAUUAAAAAUGAUAUAUUAUUCAAAAUAUGUGCUACUUUGAUAGCACAUCGUAUUUUAUUGUUAUAUCUUCAAAAGUAAUGUGUCAAAUCUUCUGCUAAAAUAUUGAAAAUUACGAUUCAUGCUUUUUAAGAGCGAUCACACAUUAUUAUAAUGAAUUAUACAAGGAUUAACUAUUCACGAGUAAAAAAAUUUAAGUUAGAUUGUAUUUAUUAUACUCUUCUGGAGCAAAUAAAACUUGACUAGCACAUCAAUAUAUAAAUACAUAUACAGAAGAAAGGACACAUAAGGAAAUUAAGUGUUUAAUUCGUGAUUUUACAUUGAAAUCAAUCGAUAUUCUUUUGAAAUAUUUGUGCUACUUCGGGGACAACAAAAUUUAAUUACGCAUCAGGAGCAAAAAUAUAAUGUUAGAUCUUAUAAAAUUAUGCUCUUCAGGAGCAAGAAAUAUAUAUAUAUAUAUAUAUAUAUAUAUAUAUAUAUAUAUGAAAAUUGAUGGAUUCAUAGAUAACGAACAUUAUUUAAUAUAUUAGUUGACAAAAUAAUUUAUUUGAUACACUACUUUAAAUUGAUUAAUCAAUUAAAUAUAUAAUCACAAACAAUAAAUAAUUGCUUACAGCCGACCAUUAAAAUUGUUACCAAAGUUGAUUCCGAACAUCGAUUCAAUGAACGUGAUUAUGUACACAUAUAUUAAGAGUUCCAUGCAAACGUCCUGCCUUGUAACGACUCGAAACCUAUGUCACGCAGGUUAUUCAAAUAAUUCCUUUAGCCAUUAUAAAUGUUGGUUGAUACAUUAUAAUACAAAAAAUAAAUAAAUAAAAUGAAGAACAUUGCACAAUAAAAUAAGUUAUUUUAUUGUCUCAUAAAAAUGUCAAUUAAUCUAAUCAAUAUAAAUCAAGCACUUAUCUUUUAAAAAUUUAAUAACGAUUUUGAACAUUAAAUACAUUAAAUUCUAAGUAGAAAUUUAAUUUUCUAACUAAAUACUAAAUAUUGAAAGAAAAACAUAAAUUCUUGGUGACCUCCAACUUCGAUCUAUCAAGCAUAUGUUAAAAAUAAUUUAAAAUAUGGAAUGAGUAUGUGAGCACGCUCAAUACAAAUUUCAUGCUAAUAUUUUCACAAUUCAAUGUAAAAAAUAAGUAAAGUAUUCACAUAACAUAAUUUUCUUAUGGGAUAGAAACUCAGCCUCUCGUUCUCCCUUGUGUCAUAGCCAUUCUCAAUAUCUACUUAGUGUAUGCAGCCACAUGACUAAUUUCUGUGUAAAUCUACAUAAUAAUACCUUAUGAUGUUACUCACAAGAUCCUGAUUUAAUUUAGAUUACAUAAUAACACAUAAAAUACUUUACUUAAAAUGUUAAAAAGUGACAAUACAAAACCACUGGGCAUUUAGGAAAAUUCAUACCUUACUCAUUAAAUUUCUUGUGUAUUUAAGCUAUUUAGAGCUGAAAAUUCUUGCAAACAAAUUUCAAACGCGCUAGAAAACUUGUUUUUUUCCCUUUUCCUUUAUUUCCUCUCUUUUCUCUCUCUUCCUCGCUUUCAUUUUUUCCUCCCUUUUAUCAAGACUAGUCUUUUGCCUAUGCAAUGGACAGAUUUUGUAAUUUUGAAGUUAAUGUUAGCGUGCUUGAAGAAUAGAUUCAUACCUCUUGUUUCUUUUGCAAGUUUUUCUCAAAUCGUCAAUGUGUAAUAUAGCAUUUGUUCAUGUGCUUGCUAACCAGAAAUUAAUGAAUAUUUAUAAUCAACUUUAUUAUCAAAUAUUAUGAAAGUGUAGGAAACAAUUACAAAAGAACAUAUUUUUUAUUAAAUGGCAAAUGGAACUUAAUAACAUUCGAAAAUUGCAACAAAAGGUGUAAUGUUGGAUGACAAAAAGCACGAACAUAAUAUAAGUAAUCAUAUUUACAGGAAAUGAGCUGUAGAAGAUGCAAAGAAGCAAAAAUCCUUACGUCCAAACAUUGACGGUGUCGUUAAUGGUGAUUAAGCUCGACAAAAAUGUUUUUAAUAGUGGUCGAUCUAUAAAUUGGAAGCGUAUAGGUUGUUCAGAGAGAGCCGAAGGCAAUGCUCGCUAUACUUCUUGCAAGAUGAUGGAUGAGAGCCGCUACGAGGAAAAAGGUAAGGGGUUAGAAAGUUGUUCCACGAGUUAUAUAAUUCAGUUUAAUUAUGUAUUAUUUUUAAAAUUGGUGAAAGAAGUUCAUAGCCUAGUCCAAGGGUUGUAGAAAAUACAAGAACCUAUAAUGGGAGACUUUUCCAAAAGAGAUUGAAAUGAGGUUAUAGCCGCAAACAACAUAAAAGAAUAAGAUAUGAUGUUAAUUUGUUACUCGCAGCAUGGACACCAGCAACGAGUACUUGAAGGGACAUCACUGGUCAUUUCAUCAAGUGGAGGAAAAAUAAUUGAGAGAAAAUUGCAUACUCAUAAGCUUCAUUUGAAGCGAUGAACAAAUAUUAACUUAUAUAUGCAUAUAGAUUCAUAACAGCAGCAAUACAAUACCUAUGAUGUUUUGUGAUAUGUAAAAUUCAAAAAAUUUCCCGAUUACAAACUGACUAUCAUUUUUUUUUCUUCAGAGUGCUGGGACGUAAGAAAUAGAAUAUGAUGUCAUAUAAAUUACGACCAAGGCCUACACCAUACUUCACUGUCUCACAGAAAACUGAAUGAAGCUUCUUGUCUUACUUGGAAUCUGAAAUAGUAUCUACAUUUGCAUCAUUGUCAGUGAUUGAAAGCAUAAUGUGAUUGAAGUCUCAGUAACACGUAUGGGUGUGGAGUUGGUGAAUAGAUGAAUUAAAGGCCUGAACAAAAUUGUAUGAAAGCUAUUGUGAAGAGUGAUUCCCAUUUUUUUCAUAACAUGUCAUGGCAGAGAGCUGUAUUCUUUGUUAACACUUUUGUGCAUGUGAACAAAAGUAAUAGAUGCACAUGAUGCAGAUAAGUAAUCUCCCUGUUCUACCAAUUCUUUAUAAUUUGGCAAAUAAAAAGAUGUCCUAUAAUUACCUUUUAUAGUUGAAAACUAUUAUGAACUUGGGCAAUUAAUCAAGGAAGAGUUUAAAAAGAUGAAAAUAAAAGCGGAUGUUUCAAUCGGUUUGGAAGACCAUGAUGAAUAAAGACUUUAAGUGGUGUUUCGAAUACUAAAAUUUCUUACCUGGAAGGAAAGUACAGCUCAGUUCAAGUAGAACACUUGUUCAGACUUUCUAAGAGAUAAACUUUUGUUUAAAUAUGCGCGGUCAAUUUUAGUAAUGCUACUUCUAGCUAGUUCUAGAUAUUCAACCUUAUUCUUUAUGGUUAAAGCAAUUCGAUAGAUGGCCCAUAGUCUAAGAGUGGGAAAGCAUUACAUUAGAAUUGCUGACAAUCUUAUAGAAGAUGUAGAGUAAAAUGUAUUUGAUUUGGAGACUGGAUUGGUUGUUUAUGACAAAUUACUGAUUCAGAGUGGUAACAGGUCCAAUAAGCAUUCCCUUCAUCGGAUGCUUUCUGAAGUUUCGAUCCAAUGUUCAUAGGAAGAUUGACCUUGCUUUUAGGUCCUCACAUUAAUGUAGAUAUAUGUCACUUUAUAUACCUAGAUCUAUAAGACUGAACCUAUCUAUCCAAACUAAAGGCAGAACUCAAUAAUUGUAAGUACUUCACAAUUUAACAAACAUCAAUGACUCUCCACAAACAGCAAGCUCUUGUCCUAAGGACAAUACCUAGCAACCACUUCUAAAAUUCUCCUAUCCUCAUCAUAGGACAUAGCCCAAAAUGUGUAAAAUUAAAAUCGUCAACUGAUGCAGGACAUUUUCCAGCACAACAAAAGAGAAAGAGACGACCAAUAAAAGAAACAGAUCCAAAUGUAUCUCGAAAAGCUUCAUUUUCUCUAAAAAUUGCUCGUACGUAAAUGCACAAAAAAAUAAAAGAAGCUAAUCAUUAGUCAGAAAUGUCGAUACAUAUUAAAUAAAAAGUUUUAUAUGAAGUUCAACAAAAAUUUCCCCGAUUACAAAAAUUGCAGAAACUAAGGAAAAAUGUGUAUAACAUUAUAAAUAGACCAAUAAAGUUAUAAGCUUUAAUAUCUAGAACAGAAAAUGGGGAUUCUUUUGGUCAAUAAAUUCACGAAUUUUAGUGCAUAGCCAAGAAAAUGCAAAUUAUGUCUUGAUGAAAAUUUUAAACUGGAUAGAAGUUCAAGUGGAAAGAACAAAUAAAAGAUUGGUAACAGAACACUUGGAAUAAAGCACGACGAUAGAACAUUUAAUAUAUAUAUCAUGUCAACGCUUUUCCAUUGCAGUUCUUCCAUACAUAAAACACAUUAUUUAUUAAAGGGCUGGUGAAUAAACGCAAAAAGACUUGACUUCGAAAAAUAAGGAAACUUUUAAUCACAAUAGCCUUCAAAGUUACCUUCCUAGCUACGAUUGAGAAAGUUCAAAAUCCCUGAACUUAAAAAUUUUAAAAAUAAAUAAAUAAAUAAGACCCAAAAAACUUGUAAAACCCAGUUAUCAAAUGCAAUUCUUACCGUGCUAAAACAAUUAAACGAAAUUUACUUCACAAAUAGCAUAAAUAAACAAAUAGAUGUCAUAAUAAUCAUACAGUUGAAUGUACAUAUGAAUGUACGUAAAUAAGGAGAAAGGAGCACCUACUAUCCUGUAACUCUAGAUGUCUACUAACGUGUUGUAUCAAAUAUUGAAAUUGGCUUAAAACAAGCAGCUAACAAUAAUAAGAAAAAAAUGAAAAAAAAAAAAAAAAAAAAACAAAAAAAAAAAAAAAAAAAAAAAUUUUAAAAAAAAAAAAAAAAAAAAAAAAAAAUCCAAACAUGACAAGCAAGAAAGAAUCUUAAACAUAAAAAUAUAUAAGACGAAAGAAACGAGGUAGUUAGCUGUGAAGCACCACAUUCUUCAAAACAGUUAAUUUGGUACAAGUUCUUACCCAGAAUUUAAAUAAUACAGCCACGAAAAGCACAUGUUUGUAAGUAUGAACAUGUUAGUGCAUGCAGGGCCGGUCCUGGGCUGAGGCAAAUGAGGCCUGCGCCUCAAGCCCAGGACCAUAGGGGGCCUCGUUUUGGCCCAAAAAAAAAAAAAAAAAAAUAUAUAUAUAUAUAUAUAUAUAUUUCCCUUCUUAAGAACAACACCAGCCGGCCCAAGCCAAAACCAAUUAUCCAGCCGGCCGAAAAGGCCUAAUUUUGGCCGAAUAAUUUUUUCCCCUCUUAAAAACAAGGCCAACCAGCCCAAAAAACCAAAACCAAUUAUCCAACGAGCCGACAAUCCAUUUACCUUUCAAAUCUAUUUACCCAACCCAAUUUAUAUAUCUAAUAUCCACUAUCCAAUCCAAUUAACCAAAAAUUCCCAAAAUUCAAUCAAAAUUUCCAAAAUUCCCAAAAUUUGCUCUGCUCAUCAGUCCACAAUCCGACAGUUAUCGCCACUCGCCUAAGUGUCGUCUUCUUCAGGUCAGUCGCCUCCUUUAGCUCCGACCACCGGUUUCUAAAUUUUUUAUAUUAUUUACUUCGUUGGAGCACUUGAAGACAUUACCAAUCUUGUAGUUAUGAAAUCCUUUUUGCCUACUGUUUUCUAGAAUAGAAUAUCAUUGAAUUUAUCUAGGUUUGUCUAGAGUUCCCAACUGAUUAUUACAAAUGCGUUUUUCUAGAAUAGAAUUUUUUAUUUAUUAUUAUUUAUUUAUUUUUUCAGCUUAUGUGGGUUUGUGAGUUGUUGAAAAUUUUCUUUUUUGUUCUAUUUCUUUACAAAUUAAUUAGAGAUAAGGAGCAUUGAAUCUUGUCAGAUACCAUUAUAUCUGAGUGGGUGUGGUGGGUGUUGGUUGGGAGUGCGGGGGUGGGAAGUGGACGAGGAAUUAAUAUCUAUCUCUCUCUUUUUCUCCUCAUUUUUUAUUUCUUUUUAUUUAUUCCAUGUUUUGUUCAGCUAAAGCCUAAACAUAAUUGAUUAAAAUUAGUAAACAAUUAACCGUAUAUUUUAUGGAUUCACAACUUUUUAAUCGUACAUUCUAUCAAUUUUAAUUAAAAAAAAUAUACUAGAAAUCAGAUGCUUAUUUAAAUCAUCAACGACUUAAUCAAUUUAAUUGUUUUAUGUAGAAAAAUAUAAGUCUGUUCAUUUUAAAAAUGAUGAAACGGUUGAUUCUUGGUCACUUAACAGUCAUUUUGGAUAGAAAUCAUCUAGAGGUCCUUCGAACGCAUAUUUAUUUAUUAAAAGGUUUGAAAUGUAUCAGCUACAAUUUUUUAGGUGUUAAACUGUCCUUUUUUAUUUAUUAUUAUUUAUUUAUUUUUUCAGCUUAUGUGGAUCAGUGUCCAAUAUUAUUUUUAUGGAAUGUUAGGUCAGUAGGUCUGUGGAUUUAUGUAGUGUUUAGUUUACUGAUUAGUGAUUAGAGCCCAAAGUAGUUUUCGAGAAUAGAUUUUUGUUAGUUCCAUGUAGGGCUGUAUAGUGUUUUCUAGAGAUUGUGGCCAAUAUUGUUUGCUGAUUUUGAUGGAUGAUCUCAGCAUGAACUUUUCUUUACUUCUCCACAUCUUCAGAAGUUGUAACUCAAGCUAGUUAUUAAAUCUGAUAAUCCAAAAGAAAACAACCAUGACAUGAGAUUUUUCAAGCUGACUUGCCCCUUCACUUUGCUAACAUCGAAACCAUAAACUUAUCCACAUGGAAGAGCAACUGCGAAAUAACUCUCCAGCAACUGCAAGUCGCACAUUUUCAGUUUUACAUACUAGUUUUCAUUGAGUUAUUAUGAUUUAAAAUUACAUUUCAAUUCAUAAGAUUGAAUUCUAUUCAUUUACUUCAAAAUAUAAAUUGUAUAGGCUUUAUGUAUUGUAAUUGAUUCAAUUGUGUUCGGAGUAAAAGGUGAAAUUGAAUCGUUCUUCUUUUGGCUUUUGUGUAAAGCUAUUAUCAUAAAUUUAGUUGAAGAGUGCAAAUUAUUAUUGUCUGUAGACUGGAAUAUGAUGGUAACAAUUUCACAAGACACUUGCAAAUUAAGCAUUUGACUAAAUCAAUAAUUCAAUAGUGAUCCCAUUUUUACUCGAGACUUUUACAUCAUCUGCAGGGUAUUCCAAUGUGUAACGACCCGGAACUCUCGUCCAAACCGUUAGCUUACGUACUGUCCGCUUUGGGUGAGUCGUGCGCCCACUUACCCCCCACGACUUUCUAUCGCAUUUCCCAAGAUUCGAACUCUUGAUCUCUACAUAAGGUAGACUUAAGUUGAAUCGUGGUACCAAUUGGACCAAUUGGAUGAGAGGUCCGGAUCGUUACAAAAAAAAGCGCAUUUUUUUGUAACGACCUGCUCACCUAAGCCAUUAGCUUACGUACUGUCCGCUUUGGGUGGGCCUUGCGCUCACUUAUCCCUCACGACUUUUCUUCGCGUCCCCUAGGAUUCGAACUUCUGACCUCUACAUAAGAGACUUAAAUCCCGAUACCAAUUGGGCAAGUUUUUGUAACGAUCCGGACCUUUCGCCCAGCCGUUAGCUUACGUACUGUCCGCUUUGGGUGGGCCUUACGCCCACUUACCCCACGGCUUUCUAUCACGUUCCCUAGGAUUCAAACUGUUAACCUCUACAUAAGAGAGACUUAAGUUGAAUCGCGGUACCAAUUGGCGCCAAAAUGACUCGUGGUAAAGACAAGAUAGACUUUGAGGAAGAUUUGUUUUUUGAUCUGGGGGAAGUUCUCGCUCCUUCACCUCGUAAACUCAGUAGUCUACAACUAUCAUUGCUUUUGUUCAAUUAUAAAUAAAUAAGCACUUUGAUGGAGAUUUGUAGCAUCAUUCAAGUAAAUACAGAUUGAGAUCGUAGAAACAUGAGCUUGUGAUAUAGCUACACCUAAUUCCAGACUAGUUAAUGCAAGAACUAUAAAUAAAGGACCAGGAUCUCUUAUGAAACGCCCAAUUGGUACCACGAUUCAACUUAAAUCUCUCUUAUAUAGAGGUCAAGAGUUCAAAUCCUAGGGAACGCGAUAGAAAGCCGUGAGGUGUAAGUGGGUGCAAGGCCCACGCAAAGCGGACAAUACCUAAGCUAGCAGCUCGCCCCAAUUGGUACCACGAUUCAACUUAAGUCUCUCUUAUGUAGAGGUCAAGAGUUCGAAUCCUGGGGAACGCGAUAGAAAGCCGUGAGAGGUAAGUGGGUGUAAGGUCCAUCCAAAGCAGACAGUACGUAAGCUAACGGCUUGGGCGAGAGGUCCGGAUCGUUACACAGUGAGCUAUAUUAAGCAUCGAUAAUGGGCUCUAGAGUUUGGUUCAAGAAUAUAAUGAGCAAAAAGAAAGUGAGAGGUGACAGAUCUCAAAAAUUGAAGGUUUGCUGCUCUUAAAUAUUCUUAAUUCCCUUAUCACUAGAUCUUAGUCUUGGCAAUCUUAGACAUCAUAUAUUAUUUUAUAUAAAUUUUUGUUUCAGGCUCGUGAGUUGUGAUGAGAUCAUUCUCAACGGUGUAAUUCCACAAUUAUCGUCAAAAUUCCACUUCUCAGAUAAGCAAUGGCUUGCCCUAACUUGUUAUUAAAGAGAUUGAAAAUGUUUGAAGCCUUGUCAGCUUAUAUAAUUGCAGCUUGGUCGGCUUAUAUGAUUGGUUAUUGUGAGAUGAACAAUUGCACAGAUGCACAUAGUAACUGUAUUGGAAAUUGUAAUUGUGUGAUGAUUGAGAUAUUUUGUAAUUGUUUUUUAGGUCAAUUAUUGGACAUUAUACACCGUUGAAUUUUGUAUUUAUAUAAAUCGUUUCUAUAAUAUAUUUAGUUGUUUUAAAGUUAGUUUUUUAAGUUAGCAAUGGAUAUAAUAAUACGCCGUUGAAUUUUGUAUUUACAUUGCUUUCGCUGGGAGGCCUAAUUUACACAUUUCGCUUCAGGGCCCAUCAAUCACAGGACCGGCUCUGAGUGCAUGCAACAAAUCAAAGAACAUUUCAAAAUAGAUGCAGGAUUAAUUAUUCCUUCGAAAUGCAUUAUGAGUACAGGUUUAGUUCAUCUAUUAUGAUGUCAAAAACAUCUUAAUGGUGAAAGCUUAUAUUGCUCGAGAAGAAAGAUUCUAUAAACUAGUGAAUGCAAUGCAUGAAACAUACUACAAAGAUAAAUGAUAAAAGACUCUAGAAUUAUAGUUUAGUGGACUAAUGUGCAACUGAUACUUCCACCAUAUAAAACCAUAUAUAACUGAAUUUACAUAGAAAUGCAACAAAUUUAUUGGAGCAAGAUAAAAAUUUUAAGGGCUAAUAUACCUUGGGAUGUUCCUCUACUUAAUCAUCCUCAAUGCUGUAGUGUUUUGUUGCUGUAUAUGAAGAUGCAACAUCUUCAUGCCUCCGACGAUCGAUAUGCUACAUUCUGAUAAAAUGAAUUUAAACUUGUUUAACACAAUAUAAACACAAGAUGCAAAAGGCUAAGAAGUUCUACAAAUUACAAAGUCUACAACAAAUUAUGCCCAUUGUUACAAGAUUAACAUAAUAUAGUAAACUCUUGAGCAGAAAAGGAUUUCGAGUUAUUUAAUGCACAUAAUACAACAUAAUUAUGCCAAGACAAUCUUUGAUCAGUAUAAAUAACAGAAUUGAGAGCACACCCAGAAUAUUAUUCAAGUUGCGAACAACCAAAAUCAAUUUCUCAAGACCACUGAUGCUAUUAGAGCAGUUAUGCAUGAAAAGAUACAACCAAAUAAAAUUGAACGACAAAAGGAAAACACAAAAGACAAAUAUUCUAUCAAAAGAAAAAGGACAAAUAUACCAUCAAAAGAAGAAAUCACAUUAUAAUUUCAAUGUCAAAACAAAACAUACAAAGUAAGUUGAAAUUCAUACCCACUCAAAAGAAAAAACAACCUCAGCGCAAGAAAUAACUAAAACUUUUGAAAUUAUGUAUAAACCUCAAAAAACCUAAGCAAAUCAAUACAUAUAAAAGGAAUUGUACCAAAAGAAAAUGAUAAACAAAAGAAAAUUGAUUCACGCAAUUAAACAAACAAACAUCCUAUCGUUACUUGUACCACCAACACCAACUCUAUUUUCCAAAGCCCUAUUGACAACAUUACCAUCAACAUGUAGUCAAUUCAGUGAAAUUAUCAUAUCACCAAUAUUAUUUCUGCUAAAAUACUUUUAACUAUGUAUCAUCAAGAAAUUUUAAGUACAUAUAAAAAAGAACUAAAAUUUUUGUGCAUAUAUUCAACAAAGAUAUACUUUACCAUUUCAUACCCCAACUUACCCAAAAUAAAUACAACGCCAAGAAUCAAUAGCCCAAAUCUUUACAAGAUCCCAAUUUCUUGUUCACAUUUUCAUAAUUUUUUAAGAAUUAAUCAAAUCAAAACAAAAAAUCCAUAAAAAGAAGUAGCCCAGAAAUCAAUAUUUAAAAAUUAUCACACUUUUCCAUUUUUGAGUUUACUAAAUGGCAACUCGUAACUAAGAAAAUCAGCAGCCCUCAUUUAGGAACUUUUGACUUGAGAAAGUGCAAAUAGGGAAAUGAAUUUAAAAGGCGUCAUUUCUGAAAUCCGUCUAUAGUUAAAGAAUCGAAGGAGUCUGUGAAAUGCUCAUUUAAAAAGAUUUCUACCCAAAGAAAUUGACAUUAGUUAGUGCAUAUGAAAAUUAGUGCAGAGGUUAAGGAAAUAUUGAUCUUGAGAAUUUUCUUUAUUUUUCUAGAGGUUCUAAUUAAAGGAAAAUUAGAACAAAUCUGAUGACUCCAUGGGGGCUGCCAUGUCAUAUUUGAAAACAAUUAAUUAUCUAUAGGCUUAAUUUUGAUAGUAACCUUUUCAAUACUUCAGCUUUUUUUCAUAGGUGAAGAGAGAUAAUUGGUCAAAAAAGAAUUCAGCCUAAAAAGGCAAAUUAAAGAUUGGCAAACACAAAUUUGAAAGAGUACCACGUUUGUUUACAUUAAUAGAAUAAUAUGAUGGAGUUAUAUGUGGAUAUGAUAUAACUAUUUCUAUCAUCUAAAGGAUUUUCUAUAACUAUACACCAUGCAGAAAUAUAUGAGUUUCAAAAUAUCUAACUUUAAAACUAACCAAAAAAUCAGAAAGAAACAAUACCAAAAAGAGUACAGGAUAAGCAUUUGUGACUCUGUCCUUGGGCACAUACACAUUGACUACAUAUAAAAAGUAUAUGAUAAAAAUCUCAAAUUCUAUAAACAUGAAAUCAAUAGAUUUAAAAAAAAAAAAAAAAGGUCUAUAUAAUGAUUAGUGAUCACUCCAACAAAAAUCAUUUUGAUAAGGUAAUUAUGCAGAAAAAUAUUGGAGGCAACACAAAUCCAGGCACCCACAAAAACCAAUUAAGAUUUUCUUUUUUCCCCUCAUGUUGAGAUUAGAGUACAAUGGGAAAGUACAAUGGUCUUCAACAUAAUGAAACUGAGAUAGGCUACAAGAUAUGAGAAACUAUUAAGAGGAACUCAUAAUCAACACAUCGACAAAUCUAAUAUACCUAAUGCAAAUGCAGAAAUACAAAGGUUCAGGGUAAAGGAGGAGAAUCAGUACAUACCUACUCAUUAGCCAAUGGUGGAAGGCCACCAAGAUAUAGUCAACUUGCAUACCUUGUAGCCUAGGGAUGAAGUAAAGAUAAGGAAAAAAAAGUCAAAAUUACAUAAGCAAGUAAAGGAGAAGCAUUGCCUGUUUUUACCUGCUGACUCGUGGCUUGGAUUGGUAACAAUGGACUAUAACUCACCUGGUAAACCUAUUAGCAUGCAUUGUAUUUCGUGAGAAAAAUGAUGGUCACCUUCUGAAAUUCAUAAAGAUAGUGCAAAAGAAAAAGAGAGGGCUACUAAUGAACUCAGUGCACCUGAGUUGUCUCAGAGGUAUGCGACGCAACAUUCCAGAAACUACUUCAAGAGCAAAGGAAUUCCUUUCAAAUGUUAAUAGACAGGCAAGCCCGCUGUUUUUUCCAUAUCAUUAAGUUUUGUGGGCAUCUACUAUGAUGCAGUCAAGAUCUUAACCAAGUGGAUACAUUUUUAUUUUGGUUGCUUAGUAAAAACAAUAUGAAAAAUGGAAUCAAAUUCAUUAAUUAUUUGAUGCAAGAAAAUUUUAACAUUCACGUAAUAGAAAAAUAAUUUAUUUUUUUUUAUUUUUUUUAAGUUUCAUGAUUGUGGCUAAAAUAAAAUUACACAUCAGAAGAGGAAAAUGAGAAUAUAACAUCAUUCAGAAAAAUUACAAGAUUUAAAACAUAUAUUGAACACCACAACUGCAGAAACCAGUUAACAUAUACACAAUAGGGAGGAAUUCAACAAAGAACACGCAAAAAGAACAUCAAAGGAAGAGACUUGAACUAUCCUAGUUAGAUUUCUUAAAAGAUCGAACAAAAAAGGAAGACUCAUAUUGAAUACCACGGCUGUAGAUACCCGAAAACAUAUACACAUCACGAAGAAAUUCAACAAAAAAUACACAAAAAUAACAUGGAAAGAACAGAGUUAGGUAUUUUAGGUUCGAUUUCUUAAAAAGAUCCAAAAAAUUGAAAAAAAAAAUUGCAAUUCAAUAGCCCAACUAAACAAACGGAAAGCAAUAUAGAAGAUAUGUAGAAAUUCAACAAGUGAAAUUGUACUUACAGGUGUAUAUCUCGGUUGACUACAAAUAAUUUGGGUUUAUUCUCUACGAUCACAAGACGAAAGUGAUAUUAGGAUUAAGGGAAAGAGAUAAUGGGUUCGAAGAGUCAUAGUUCCAUAUUUAUGUGUAUUCCCCCCCCCCAAACGGCAUAGUAUAGGGAAAGCUGGUUGAUGGACAGAUGGAACCGGAUAUGUGUGAAAAGGAUGUUUCCAAAAUGAAUAGUGAAAGUGGAUCCUCUCUUUUUUAGGAAUAUUGAUGAUAUAAUAUAUANNNNNNNNNNNNNNNNNNNNNNNNNNNNNNNNNNNNNUAUAUAUAUAUAUAUAUGUAUGUAUGUAUGUAUGUAUAUAUAGAGUAAACAUGUAAGCAUCAUGACUCACAUUUUGAACUACAACACUUGACGAAGAAAUUACUCGUCAAAGCUAUCGUCCCAAAAGUUGUAACGCAUCAAGCUAUUGCACUACCAUACCCCCAAGAAUAAAUGCAACUUUAUGUCCCAUCUUAAUAUAAUGUACAAAAAUGAAUGUUAACUGCAUAUGGUUAAAUUAACUACGUAAAUCAAAUCAUUUAUCAUAAGCAAGAGCAGAGAAGGAAAAACUCGUAACAAUUCGAAAAGAAUUAAUUUACUGAAUGAAUGAAUGAAAGCUCAUUAAUCUUAUCGUUACUACAAAACAUGAACUUAUAUUUCUAUAAAACAAUAUAGCUUGAGGAUUUCCCUGUUACGUCAGUUGUGAUUUCAUCUCUAAACCAACUUCACACCCACAAAACUGAUUCAGACAUUUAUGCUUAGCAUAAUUGAAGAUUUACCUCAUGAUGUUUUUGAGAAGCUUGGUGUACAGGCCAAAGAGCAUCGAAUUUGAUGACAACAUCACAAAUUCUACAGACCAGUUGAUCAUAUUCAUUGUACCUACAUUUACAAAUAGGAUUAAUUGUCUAGCUACAAGUUGAAAGAAAAUAUGAUUAGAAAUUUCAUUUCAAUGAUUAUCUAGUGCUUCUACAGAUAAAUUCAUUACAAAGAUGUCAAAAUUUCCACAAGCAAACUAAUCCACAUUGGAGCUAAGUUCACAUGACUCAAGUGUCCGAAUGUUUCCCAUUUUUCAUUAGGAUCCUAUCUUCAUCCAAAAGAGAAUGCAUAUAUGUAUAUACAUAGAACAUAGAUACACAUUUUGUGUAUCAUAUCAGAAAUUAGGAAAUUACUACAACUACAAAAAUAAACAAUUUCUUUAACGUCACAAAUAACUAAAAUUUCCACCAUAAAGAAUAGGCCGAUCACUAAAAUUACUUGGUUUAAUCACAAUAUGUAUUAUGAGUGAACAAAAAAUGCAAAACAUACGAACAAAACAAUUUGUAUAAGUAGAAUAAACUAUAGAUGGAAUUUAGAAAAAAAAAUAAAAAAAUCCUAACCAAGUGGUGCUUCUCCUCUUCCUUUUUAUCGAACCAUUGUGUUGAAUCCUCGGUGUUUGAUUCAAGAAUUAACUUCAAAUCUAGAAAAUAUACUUUUAUUUUUUUAAUUAAAAUAUCCCUUUUAUAUAUUCUAACUCCAAAACUUUUACAUGCUAGUACAUUGUAAGGCAACUAAAAUGUAGAAAAAAAAACUUAAAAAUUAACAAAAUGGCAUAGGGUCAAUUGGUUGGUAACAUUAUCUUCUUGAUCAUAGAACAUGAUUCGCUGGGAACUAUUAUUACUUCAAAUCUAGAGAAUAUGCUUUUACUUUUCAAUUAAAAUAUCCCUUCUAUAUAUCCUAACUCUAAAACUUUUACAUGCUAGUACAUUGAAAAGCAACUAAAAAUGUAGAAAAAAAUAAUAAUAAUAAAUUAAUUAAGAAAUAGCAUAGGUCAAUUGGUUGGUAACAUUAUCUUUUUUAUCAUAGAAUGUGAUUUUCUGAGAACCAGUCAAUAAUGUUACACGCAGAAAUAUUGAUGAUACACAUAGAGUUAAUAGUAUUUCAUAACUAAUUGAUUGAACAGCAACUUGCAUCCACAAUGGAAAAGGCAUUAUGGGUCAUUAGCCAUGUGUACUUGUUAAAAGAUAACCCACUUACCUAUUACAUUAUUACAUUAUUAGAUAGAAUAUAAUCAACAAUUCAAAAUCAAGAAUAUUCUAAUAGAAUCCUUGAAAACAACAAAAGAAAAACACUAAAGAAAAUAUUACUAUGGAAGUGGGUAUGGUGGCUUGGCCUCUGGUUCAGAAAGGUUGAGUCUUUCCAAUUGAAGGAUAGUCUCCACAAUAAAGACCAGACCCAAUAUCAAUAGCAAUGGAACAUGAAUUAAGAAGCUACAACAUAAUUAAAAUUUCAGCUCGAAUUCAAAUAUAACAUGUUCAUAACGUAAGGAUUUAUAAAUAAUUAGACACAAAAAGAGAUAAUGAAUUAGCAAAUAGACCUGACAAUUGGCAAUUGGGAUGAAAAAAAGAGGAAGAAAGAGCAAAAAUAGUAAGAUGAAAAUAUGGUGACCAUCUACAACAGUCUAAGCAUUAAAUACUCAAAUACAUAAAGUGUAAGAAAAUUUGAUGACUAUAUAUAACAUAACAAUCAAAGUUCAAAAAGGCCAAAGAAUGUAAAAUAAACCUUCUUUUUCUCAAGUUUGUCGUGCCCAAAAAUGGUUAAUCUUUCUUCAACAACAUGUAAGUGUUAUGCCUUAAAUCCAAUCGAUUUAGGUUGUAAACACUUUUAAUGUGUUUAAUACAUUUAUAUUUUGGCAAGAUCUGUUAUUUAUUUAAAUUAAUAUUCUGAUAAAUAACAUUAAAUAAUAAAGUCUGAAGAUUCAAGUUUAAAUGAUUUGUUAAUCAAAAGAAGUUGUGAUUAUGAGAUACAAAUUACAUAUGAUUGGAUCUUGAAUAAUUCAUGGUCGUAAGUAAUAAUGAAAUACGGAUAUCGUUAUUACGGAUAAACCAUCACGUGUGACAUUUCUUACUUGUGAAGUAAGGAGCUGACCUCAAGAGCUACAGUGUGGUGACACUUAAAUGAACGCAUGGAUGUUUUGUUAUAGAACGAAAUAUUGGAGAUCCACUAAGAGAUUUCACAUGAAUAACUAUCUAAGUGUCAGUAAUUAAUCUCUAACUUUCGGUAGUGAAAUUGGUCCUUUCACUUGAGGUCGUCAUAGUGCCUUAUAUGAGGAUAGUCAUGCUUUGACGGUGUUGGAUCUACCAAGGGCAACUAAUACAGUAUCCUUCGAGUAUGUCAAGAGCCAUAUAAAGGUUGUGAAUGACCAAUUGAGGAUUCGUCACUCUUAGAUAGUAAGAGAUUGUGAUUUGUAUUUCGUUCAAUUAAGUCAAUAACGAAAUCAUUGGUCAAGGUAUACUCAUAAGUCGAAAAGGAGUUUUCGACUCACGUUGACUUAAUAGUAGAAUGAAAGAUAUGAUCGAUAAUCGAGAUUGACACACUUCAAUAUCUCGUAAUUGAUCGGAUCAUAUUGACGAAGGGAUUGUAGUUUCAUGGUAAACAAACAAGAUUGAUUUUGUCAUACCACGUGACAUUUUCCCUCAAAUGUGUUACCCUAAUGCAUUGCUAGAUGUCAAUCUAGGACGGCGAGUGUGAAUUGGUGAUAAAUUAAAAGGGAGUUUUAAUUUAUUAAUUUUGAUUAUAUCAAAAUAAUAUUUCACAUCGUUAGGUAUCGUGAUCGGGAACCUAAUGGAUCGUACACAAAAGAGAAUUGAAAGAUUGCAAUUUGUCAAUUAAUUAAUUUAACAAUCGUUGAAUAAAUUAAUUAAUUAGAUUGGUUAUUUAUAGGCCUGAAUUAAUUAAUUCACGGAUCGAAUUUAAUUAAAUGAAUUAAUUAAAUAUUGAACCGGAUCGGACUAGGCCAAGCCCGUUUGAGCUUAUAUAAAUACAUGGCUAAGGUUUUUAAUCUGUAGAGAAUCUCAUAAUUCUUACUAGCACAAGAGUAGAAAACCCUAAUAGUUGCAAUCUGCUCUCUGUGUGGAAUUCAUUGGAGACUAGACAAUUGGACAACUGUGGGAGGCAAAUCCAAGUUGUUGGAACAAAGAUAACGCAAAAGAGUUUGCAGAUCUAAGAAAAUCUAUAACUUUUACACAAUUCCAAUCUAAAUACAAAGAUGAAUCCUAGUGGGAUUGAAAUUAAUUUUUAUUUUAGCUGUGCAUAUUUAAGUAAAUUCCCAACACAACCUUAGUUGAAAGACCCUCACUGGUAGAUCUUAGAUUCUCAAACACUUCCUCAAAUGGGAAUGUUGACCUAUAACUACUGUAAAACAAUUUACUCGAAAUAGAGUAUGAGUCUAAACAGCAAGCUUAAAUCCAUCAUGAAGCAUAAUCAGAAAAACCUAAAAAGUAAACAAGAAAUCUUGAUUUAAAGUUUGUGAUUCUUGAUGCACUGGAGAAUUCGUACCAAAAAAUAAAAUAAAAUUAAAACACGAUGUAUACAAACAUAAAAAUAAGCCCAAGACUAUAAAUUCUUAACCAACAACACUGAACUAAAAAACUCUAAUAUAUACGACCAAAAAAUCAAUUGUAAUCCCAAAAAAAAACAAUGGAUUCUAACCCAACUCAGACAAUAAAGAUAGAGGCUUCAAUUCCACCGAUUAUAACCCUAAGCUAAUCUAAACAUGAAGUUUUCUGAAUUUCGGGGAAACUUUCACAAAAUUUGAAACAAACGUACAGGAAAAUAAAUCAAACCCUCAAGAACAUAGAGUUGGAAAAAUGAGACAAUACAGAAAGAAAAAGUAUGAGAAGAAUAUACUUGAGGUUGACACUCUUCAAUUUCCUAUAGAAAUAUCCUCUAUUUGUUGUAGAUUUUCAGCAAAGGUCGAAGAAAAACAAUAAAAAAAUUGAACGCUUAACUAUAUCAACCUAAAGAAACCGAAAUAAGAAUGCACAAUGACAGUAAAAUGGGGGUGAGGAUUCUAAUUGCAAGUUUAAAGAUCAAUUUAAGGGGAAUUAUUUGUAGAUGUUUUGUAUGAGAAUUGAGAGAGAACAGAGGAAAUUAGGGUUAAUGAAACAAGUGCGAAAAGAAAAUGGAUGGUUUUGUCAUUUUAUUCUAAGAAAGUAUCUAGAAGGGUAUUUAUAAGUGUAAUUAGAUAUGGAUAGUUAACUAAUUAAAAUUUUGAAUAUGACUAUUAAUUCAAAUUUAUAUUGAUAUUUCAACAAAUUUAUCAUGAAAUUCGAAUUUAAGAAAAUUUUAUCUGAGGAUAAGAUUUCAAUGCGGAUAUAUACAAAUUUCAAGUUUUAUAUAUAUUGGUGCAAAUUGUAGCCCACUAUUAGAUGUGAAAGCUAUGAUUUGGUUACGAGACAUACCUUGCAAAUUCUAACACAAAAUUUCAAGUAAACGGAUAUUUUGAGCGCAAACACCAGGGAAUUAGGUCACCAAAAUUGAUUGAGUGGUUUGGGCCUCCCAUUCAUCACUAGGGGUGGGCAAAAACCGACCCAGCCCGAUCGAUCCGACUGACCCGACCCGAACCGAUCGGGUUGGGUCGAUUUUUUAUUUUUUAAGGCCGAUUUUCGGUCCAUGUUCUGAACAGUCGGUUCGGGUUGGGUCAGGUUGCGGGUUGGCAUCUCAAAAUCGACCCGACCCGACCAAAUAAAAAAAAUGAAAAAAAAACGACAAAACGCGACUUAAAACUGAAAAUGGAAAAAGCCCUAAAUAAUCAACAUACUACAGACCGAAUCACCGAACCUCACUUCUCUGUCGCCUUAUCUCUUCCCGUCACCGACCCAAAUUGCCGACGCUGAUCCAGAUGCUGGCUUGCUACCUUGCUGGUCAUCGUUUUGUCUAGGUUGUCCACGCGUAGGGUAAGUGUAUUUCUUCGUUUUCGAACACUUUCUCCUGUUCUCCACACGUAGGUUGUCAGUGUAAGUUGUCUAACUGUGUUUAUGAGUGAUUUACGAGUUAACUAUGUAGAUCUGAGUAGAUUUAUGAGUAGAUUUACGUUGUUGCUGCCUUGACUCCUUGAGUACAUUUACGAGUUAACUGUGUUUCUCCGGGUGCAAAAAUCAGUUCUAGAUUUGUUGCAUUGUGUUUGAGAUUCAGAAGGUGGAUUUAGUCCGAUAGCAGAAAUUUGUUUUUAAAUUUAAAUGGACAUGGAAUAAAGGUAAAAUUUGAACUCGCAACCUAUGUCUGAGCUUGAGCACCUGGCUUAUGUUGGUCUAAAUGUCUAAAAUUGAUUCUACUGAAAGAUAUCCAGCUUUGACAGUGUUUUACUCCUUCCAACAUAGAACAGUGUGAAAUAGAGCAUGUUUGGGAUGGCUGAAGCUAAAAAAUAAGCUCCAAAUGUGUGGCUUAUUUGAAUGUAGGUGGAUCCACUAAAUGUAAGCCACUGUUUGAGGCAACUGUUUGAAUAGGUGAUCCCUUGAAAUCCUUGCAUACAGCUAUUGGAAGUGACUGUUAAAAAAUGAACAGAUGUACCUAUUCAAAAACUUUUGAAAAUAAAAUUCUCUUUCAGGGGCGUUGCCCCCGAGCCCCCACAAGGGGCGCUGCCCCCGCGACUUGACCGGACAGGUCGAACCCCGUUGCGCAGCGGCAAAUACUAAUCCGGGCGGCAAAUCAUUCGCAAAACAAAAAAUCAAACACAUGCAAAAUAAUGAAAAAUAUCUAACAACGCAUGUGGUGCUUAUUUUUAAGCCUAAGGCGUCCCAAACAUGCUCAUAAGCCGGCAGUGGAAUGAAGAGAUAAACUUGUAAUGUUAAAAUAGAGCAGAGGUGUAGCAUAGCAUAAUAGUGAGCCUUUUUCACCACUUUCUCUAUUAUGAGUAAUGAUGAUGCUUUGACAGUUGCCUUAAUAUUCUCAAAGAGGAUAAAAUUACUUGAAAAGAGUAUCGACUAUUGACGCAGUCAUAUGAAGAUCAAAAUAGAAAAUAGUAUACCAAGUCCAUAAAGACAUACUGGAACCGUCUUUAUAAGUAUAUUGUUUGGUUUCUUUAAAUAUAUCUGCCUCUUCAAUCUGUCCAAAGAGCAGAACACAAAGAUGGCAUUAAGGAUAGGAAUGGCAGAGUGUGAAUACAGCUGGACUAAAGUAUUAGGAUCCUGACAAAAAUAUAUGCCUUCAAAAUUGGAAGCGUGAUAAAAAAAUUACAAUUUUAUGACAUACAGUUAUCUCAGUGAAGCAACUUACCUACAAGUUUUGAGGAGUCUCUCAAUCAACUUUCUGUCAAUGAGGCUAUCGUCAACUGCUAAUACAUGGAACUGUGUUAUCUUUAAAAAAAUUUCUGAUUUGCUAAUACUGUAUUAUCUUUGGUUGUAUAUCUUUGCAGAAUACUGCCUUAGUUUUAGAAUACUGUAUUAUCUUUGGUUGUUGUUAAUAUGUUACUUCUGAUUUACUGCUUCUUUGGUUGUUGUUGUGUCUAAGGUUGCAGAAGACAUGCUCUUGUUAUUCAGUCUUCUGGAAAUUGCAGUCAGAAUAACGUGCAUUGUGCUUAAGUAAUGGACUCAUGUGCAAUAAUUUUCCUUGUAAUGCAUUAAUAAUUGUUAGUUAAUAGAUGUAUUUUGGGGUAUUCAUGAUUUUUGUGGUAUGUUGGUAGAUAUGGAUGUACAGGAAGAGUGUGGCACACAGGCUCAAUGAAAAGAUACCGAUUUGCAAUCUGGUCUUCCUCCACGUGCUCCGUCAACAUUGGGUAAACGAAAAACUAACAGAUUAUCUUCUUAUGUUUGGGAUCAUUUCACUCUAUUAGGCUCAAGGGAUGAUCCAAAUGUUAGGUGUAAGUGUAAUUAUUGUGGAGUGGAUUAUGCUUGUGGCACUAAGAAGUGUGGUACUAGUACAUUGAGUAAUCAUUUGACAAAUAAAUGUAAGAAAUAUCCUGGUAGAUUGGUGGAUAAGAAGCAGAAAUCCUUAUCAUUUGAGAACAAAGAGGGUGGAAGGAGCAAUCUUAUUGCUGUUGGUCGAAGCAAGGAGGAGUGUAGAGUUGCAUGUGCUAAAUGAUAGUUUUGGAUGAACUACCUUUUAGGUUUGUUGAAGCUCGUGGUUUUAGGCUCUUUUGUAGUGUAGCAUGUCCUCAGUUUCUGGCUCCAUCUCGUAGGACUCUAGUUAGAGACAUUUAUCAGUUGUAUUUGGAUGAAAAAUUGAAAUUGAGAGAUGUCUUUUCUUUUCACCGUCAAAGGGUUUCCCUUACAACUAAUAGUUGGACGUCUAUUCAGAAUGUUAAUUACAUGUCUCUGACAGCACACUACAUUGAUUCUGAUUGGACGCUUAAUAAGCGUAUUUUGAAUUUUUGUGUCAUUCCAAAUCAUAGGGGAGAAACUAUUGGAAAAAUGAUUGAGACUUGUUUGCAUGAUUGCGGGAUUGAGAAAAUUUUUGCUAUCACUGUUGAUAAUGCAAGCUCCAAUGACACAGCCAUUUCUUAUCUUAGGCAAAAGGUAGUUGCUUGGAGUAGUGAUGGAUGUGUUCUAGAUGGGAAGUAUUUACACUUGAGAUGUUGUGCACACAUUAUCAAUUUGAUCGUUGGUGAAGGGUUGAGGGAAGCGCAUGACUCCAUUGUGAAUGUUCGCAAUGCAAUCAAAUAUGUGAAAUCUUCUCCUUCUAGGUACGAAAAAUUAAAGAAGUGUGCAAGAAAAGAGAAGAUUGAUUGUAAGCCUAUUGUGUUUUUUGAAUGUUCCAACUAGGUGGAACUCUACUUAUUUGAUGUUGGAGACGGCAUUGAAAUUUGAAAAAGCUUUUGAUAGGUUAGAAGAGGAGGAUGCUCAGUAUUCACAUUACUUUCGAGAAGAUGAUAGCGGUAGGAGGAGGGGCGGACCUCCGUCAAGUUUAGAUUGGGAAAGUGUAUCUGUGUUUGUUAAAUUUCUUGAAAAUUUCUUUAAUGCGACUUUGGUUUUUAGUGCUUCAUUGCAUGUUAGUGCUUGUGCUUAUCUGCAUGAAAUUUGUAAUCUUGUAAUCGAAUUGGAUGAAUGGAGAUUAAGUGGAAACUUUUUUUUUGUUGAAAUGGCGACUAACAUGAAAAAGAAGUUUAAUAAGUAUUGGGGUAAAAUGGAAAAUGUGAAUCAAGUGUUGCUUUUUGCUACUAUCCUCGAUCCAAGAUACAAAAUGGAUUAUGUUGAAUAUUGUUUAAAUGAUCUAUAUAUGGAUGUAAAAGUUGCUAGUAAUAUGAUGAAGUCUUUGAAAACCAAUUUGAUAGAUAUUUAUGAGUGGUAUGUUGGUCAUGAAGGUAUUGAUGGAAAUAGUAAAGUGUCAACCGAGGAGUCUUUAAGUUCUAUCAAUACAUAUAAAGGAAGUUCUUCUUCUAUUAGUAAUGCUCGUCUCAAUAGAUUUCUGGAAAAACAAGCGGUGAAGGAUUCAGUUGAAAUAAAAAAUGAUGUGGAACGAUACCUGUUGAAAGCAUAGAGAACAAGGAUUUUGAAGUUCUGGAUUGGUGGAAGGUUAACAGAAAUAAGUAUGGUGUGUUAUCCAAUUUGGCCAAAGAUGUUUUAGCAAUUCAAGUUUCAACUGUUGCUUCAGAAAGUGCAUUUAGUACUGGAGGAAGAAUACUUGAUCCUUUUCGUAGUUCCUUAAGUACUAGAAUGGUUGAGGUCUUAGUAUGCACUCAAAAUUGGUUGAAAGCAUCUCCGAACUUGGAUGGUUUUUGCAUGGAAGAUGUUGAGCAUUACAACCAAAUGGAUGAGCUUUUAGAUUCAAUAAAUUCAAAAUCAAUUGAAGAUGACCAAGAACCCGACGCUAAGUGAAUCAUUUAUUUUACAAGAUUUCACUUUUCAUGUAGGCAUAUUAAUCGGUGAAUAAUUUCAUAAUUAUUAUGUUUCCAUCAGUUUUCCCAUUUCUGUAAAACUGACUUGUACAAUUUUUUAUGAUAACAGGUUAGUGCAUAAAACUUUUGCUUCAACAAACAAUGUCUUUUGACUUUAUCACGUGUUACAAAAUGCAAAGACACUAUCAAACUUAAAGAAUGUAAGUUCCAGUCUUCCAGAGCUCUAAUAUCACUGAAUACUUUUGUUAUAUAUUACUAUAAUUGAGUUUACAAAUUUGAAGUGCGCUAAGCCUCUAACUAUGUUUGAAGGAUAUUUUGGCUAAAAGUUGCUUACACUGGGUGAGAUACUGAGAUGGAUGCUGUUUUUGAAUUUGAUUGUGUAGUGAAAAUCACUAUUUUGCAUGACAAAAAAUGUAAGUAAUUCCCAUUCUUGUUUGUAGAAUAUUGUUUAUUUAUGCAUGAAUAGGAAUUGAGUUUACAUAUUUGAAAUGCUCUAAGCCUCUAACUAUUUUUGAAGGAUAUUUUGCUCAAAGUUUCUUACACUUGGUGAGAUGGAUCUUGUUUUUGAAUCUGAUUGUGUAGUGAAAAUCACUCUUUUGCAUGACAAAAAAUGUAAGUAAUCCACAUUCUUGUUUGUAGAAUAUUGUUUAUUUAUGCAUGAAUAGGGAAAGCAUAUUUAUAUGUCCUAUAGCAAAACGGUGGUACUUUCUUUUGACACAUUAAUUGUUUGCUUUUCUUAGUUCUCAUUAUCCAGAUUUUUGUUAAAAACCAAACAUUGAAAAGCAAACCAGGUGGGGGAUUUGACAGGAAAUGCCAAUUUAUGAAUAAGCUUGUAUUUGAGGUUUCCCAGCCUUCUAAUUUCUAAAUAAACAUGGCAUUCCCAGCUUUUGAAACAGAUUCUAGAUAAAGAUGGUUCACAUUCGUCACAAGGCAAGAUCUCCAGGAAGGUUUUCAUAUAGGUAAUCUGGAAAGAUUAGUUUUAUUCCUUUCCCUUAAGAAAUAUUUCGUAAUUCCAUGGACAUCAGCAAAUGAAAGCUCGAGCAACUCAAAAGCCUGUAAUAACUUUUCUUCAAAAUGUUCUUUGUCAAUUACAACUGGACAGUUUUAUUCAUAGCCUAGGAUUUUUUAUUAAGUAGAAACAAGAAGCUGUUAGGAGAUGUUUUCCUAUUCAUGCAUAAAUUACCUGCAAAGGGAAUUAUUAUUUAUUUAUAAGCGAUAGUUUUAUCUAAUUACGACAAAUGUUUACUUUGUUAUUGCCAUCAAUGUUGCUGUCUUGCUGACUUGCUGGCGUUGGAGUUAAGGGUCCCAAAUUACAAUGUUGCUGACUUGCUGGGAAUCUGAGAUGUUCUUACUGCUGCUGGCUUGCUGGGAAUUUAAGUUAAGGUCCCAGAUGGGUUUACUUUGUUUUGUCAUCAAUGUUCCUAGACUGCUACUAACUAUUGAGUGCUGAGAAUCUGAGAAUGCCUGAUUAUGCAACUGCCCCAACUCUCAAGUUCAAUGUAUUAAUUUUCAAGUUCUUUUGACAAUGGAUGACUGUAUUAAUUGUAUGUUGGUGAAUUUUUAUUUGGAUAGUUGUAUGCUAUAUUAAAUAUUAUUUGUAUUUUAGUUAUUUGGAUGACGAGUUGUCUUUUUUUGAACAUAAUAUGAUAAUAAAUUACACUUUUGCUCAAACCGACCAACCCAACCCAACCCGACCGACACUUGAUUAGGUUGGGUUGGUUUGAUUUUUUAUCAAACCGACAAUGUUGGGUUAGGUUAGGGUUGGGGCAAAAACCGACCCAACCCAAUCCACGCCCACGCCUAUUCAUCAUUGUAAAAAAAUGGAUUCACAUCAUCAAUUCAUUAUUUUAUAUAAAAAGAACCUUUUCCAGAGGAAUCAGAGCAGAGAAUAUGUUAUAAAUUGAAGAUAAAAAGAGACAACAAAAGAUAAAAGUUAAUAAACUUAUAUUUUUUAUCAAUAACCAAGCCACGUAUUGGUAAGGGAAAAUUAGAAUUACAAGGGAUACAUUAUUCAUAACAACUAGGGCUGCACGAAUAUAAAAAUCAUCCAUAAAAAUUACUAUAAUUAAAACAUUAAAAAUAUUGUUCGAGGAAAUAUCAUUUUUAAUUUCAUUAUUUGGUUUUAUACAUGUUUUAACAUAUGAUCUUUGACACAUGACAUACAUGAUACACACAAACUAAACAAAAGUCUAUACCAUAGUUCAGGUUGCAAGAGUCUUGAGGAAGAGACUUAUCAAUGCCUAGGAAGUUAAUUUAGGCUUAUCUCUGUCGAAUUUAAAAUCACUCGAGAUUAGGAGAUCCUUGCUAUAUCUUUGAUUACAUAUCCUCCCACGGAAACAUAAUCCCAAUGUCAGAAUUCUUAUAGUUUUAAAAGUACAACAUAAUCUACAAAUAAUCUAAGGGUCCGUUUAAUUGCAAGAAUGAAAUUUGAAUGGAAAGAAAAUGAUUCCAGGAAAUUGAAUUGUUUAGAGCUUGUUUUAUUGAGAAUUAUUAAUUAAAAGUGUUUAAUUUGUAUAACUUUUCACCAGAAAAAUAUUGAAAUUUUGAAUCUUUUGGUAUUCGUUUGACUUUUUUUUCAUGAAAACUAUCAAUUAAAGGAAUAGAUUUUUUUACAAUUGUGGAUAGAAUUUGUUCAUAUUGCUGAAAAUUAAAGAAAUAAUAUAAAACUGGUCCAUAGUUUUAAGGAAAAUGGGUCACUUGAGGGUUGGGGGAGGAAAACCAAUUCCCAGGAAAAUCUAAGCAAUCAAAUGGCAAAAAAGGUGGAAAAUGGAAAAUUUUCUAUGGAAAACCCACCGAAUCAAACAGGCCCUAAGUGUCAAACUUUAAACCAAUUGAGAAGCAUUUAUGUUGAAUUAAAAGAAAACACUAGGAUUUUAAAUGCCUCUAUAUUCUUGUAUUUUAAUAUCAAUUUCAAAAUUUGAAAACACAUAUUAGAACUUGAAGAUUGAUGUUCCUAAUUUAUUUAAGGCAAGUUUGACCUCCUUUACUUUAAUUUAAUCUAUUUUACAUAUUCAUUUUUAAUCACAAAUUUAUACAAUGAAAUAUUGUUUACGUAAAUCCAAAACAUUUUCUUACUUUUUAAUUACACGUUCUCAAAAAAAAAAAAAAGCAUUUUAAAACUAUGUUUUUAAAAUUUUAUGGAUAUCAAACAAUGGCUUAACGAACUCUCUCAAUUAAUAUUAAACACAUUCUCACGUAUGACCAUUAUCUCUAUAAAAUAUGUUAACCUAUGAAGAUGAAUUAAAUCACAAGAACACUCAUAAGAUUUUGAACUUUGACCGCAAUUAUUUCUUUUUUUAAUUUUCUUAAGUUAGACUCAUUUUUGCAUUUUUUGAAAAGAUUUUGACCACAAUUAUUUAUUUUUUCUUCCUUUUUUCUUUUUAUUUAUUUAAAUGUGAAGCUAAAUUCUUCAUUUUACAUGACUUUAUGGAAAAAGAUAAAGGAUUGUAUCCUAUAAAGUUUGACUGAUUUAGAAAAAUUUUGCUCCUAAAUAAAAUUUUAGGGGGUAUUGCUUGAAUUGGAUAAACGUUAUGAAAUAUUGUGCUGGUUAACAUAAACUAAACAAGAGUUUGUUAUUACUCUACUGGAGGAAAAAAAAAAGUUACAUUUUUAAUGUAACCAGUAUGUUAAAGCUUUAAUAUUUGAAUACCUUGUCUCUACAAACAUGGUUGCAUACAAUUUCUACGAGAACAACGCAUCUAGCAAUAGUGGUGCUAAAGUAUAAUUGGUCCUGUCAUAAGUUCCAAAUGAAUAAUAUAUUUAAAUAAAUUUAUCAUUUAAUGUCGUACAAUUAUAACUUAUAUCAAUACUCAACAUUGAUAAUGUUGAAUAAUAAUACUCUUCCUAUAAACAUGAUUGUAUGUAUUGCAUUGGAAGUCUGGUUCAUUCUUUUAUUAACUGGUAGUAUAGAACUUUAUAGAAAGACCUCGUCUUUUCUACAGAAUGUUAUUCUUUUUUAUUUAUAACUCUUUUUUGUCAAAGAUAAUGACAAACGGUCCCCAAGGAUUUUUUUUCCCAAGAAUGCCGGGAAACUCCUAGAGCCUGUUUGGGAGUGAUUUUGAGAAUUGAUUUUUUGACCGUUAAGAGAAAAGUGGGGUCCACUUAUGAGAGAAGAAGUCAAAAAUGACGGCUGAAAUGGUGAAAUAACGAUCAAAAAAUCAAUUUUUUGAGUGAAAAAAUGGGGCCCAAACAGGCCCCUAGAAUCAUCGUCUUCUUCCCAUAUAUAUCUAGACUCUCUAAGCUACUCUGAUUAUAGAGAAUUUGAAAGCCUGGAUUCAGCCAUCAUAAGAAAACUCAUAUCCUUAUAUUGCAAUUGAAGAAAUCCACUAGAUAAAUGUCUCUGAUUCCAAGCUUCUUUGGUAAUCGACGAAGCAACGUUUUCGAUCCAUUCUCUCUCGAUAUUUGGGAUCCCUUUGAGGGCUUCCCUUUCUCAAGCUCGGUAGCCAAUGUCCCAAACUCUGUCCGCGAAAUAUCUGCAUUUGCCAAUGCUCGCAUAGACUGGAAAGAGACUCCAGAGGCCCAUGUUUUCAAGGCUGAUCUUCCCGGACUCAAGAAGGAAGAGGUUAAGGUGGAGGUUGAAGAAGGAGGAGUGCUUCAGAUAAGCGGAGAGAGGAGCAAGGAGCAAGAGGAGAAGAAUGACAAGUGGCAUCACGUGGAGAGAAGCAGUGGCAAGUUCCUUUGCCGGUUUAGGUUGCCGAAAAAUGCCAAAACAGAUCAGGUAAAGGCUAGCAUGGAGAGUGGUGUGCUUACUGUGACUGUGCCUAAGGAGGAAGUGAAGAAGCCUGAGGUGAAAUCCAUUGAGAUUUCUGGUUGAUGUUUUGAUCUUGCUGAUAAAUUUAUGAUGUCUGUCUGUGGUGUGAUAAUGCUAAUUCAGUGUUUAUUGUCUCAUGUUUGGAAAUGAAGGGGUGUGUUUGGUGUUGAAAGUAAUGUAAAAUUUUCAAAUUAAUAUAAAAGUAAAUUUCUGUUGUUCUUGCACAUUUGUAAAAGUUAUUAGCUAUCCAUUUAUUACCAACAUUACAGUUCUUACCCAAAAUUACAGUGAACAAGAGAUAUUAUUUCUUAGAAAAUUAAGAGAUUUUCGGUUGAUAGGGCAAUAAUUUAAAACUUAAGCUAACAUUCUACCCAAUUAAUAUAAUACCAUAUCAAAAUUUCAAAAAGAGACUCCACUGUCCUUCCACGAAUACUGAAGGCUUACUAGAGUCAUAAAAUUCUGAAAGUACAAUUCAACUUCUUGUGCCAAUUAGUAUAUACCAUAUCUAGAUCUUCGAAGACAACUCUACUGCCCCUUCGCGAAUAUUGUAUGAAAUUCUGAAAGUACAAUUCAACUUGAAGGAUGCUGAGCAACAUCAAUUUACCAUCCACAACACAACAUCAGGAGUAUGGUCGUUUAUUUGACUCUGCUUUAUGUAUGUAUACACCACACGUCUGUCCCUUGAAGAAGGCACAUGCAUCACCUGAAUUUGAUCCAACUUCAACCUUCCAGAAUGCCCUUUAUGCAGCACUUCGUACCUACAGAAUAUUAAAAAUGGCACAAGUAGCAUGUAAAUUUGUAGUGUAGUUCAAAUUUAAAAUAGUUUUUGUAUAUCUUUCUUGAUCGAAUGAUAAGUCUUGUCACUCUGAAACCAUAGUGUUAUUUGAAUGAUUAAAAUCAAAUCUUCUUGACAAAGAUGGAAGUAUCCACAAAUGCACAAUACAAAGAGAGUUAUAGGAUUUUUUAACGGUACUCUAAAGGCUUGAAAGGAAAUUAAGCAACUAAAAUGUUAGCUUAAAAAUAAAGAAUCGAACAGAAAAUUAGCACAAAGCCAGGUAGGCAAUCAACAAAAUUACAAGAUACACAUCUCGAUGCUGACAAUCUUAUAACAAACAAAGGAAUCGUAAUUUUGUGACAUGCUACUCAAGGAUCCAUGGAAAGUAUCAGAUGAUCAUUCAUGCUAGACUAUCAUUGUUUUGAUGUAGUCAAUAAGAGCAUCCAAAUUGUGAUACGAUGAUCCACCUUCAUUAACAGCUUUUCUUGCAAGAUUUGCCACAUUUUGUGACCUUUUCAAGAACUCAUCCUUCCUUUCUUCCAUAAGCUCUUUGACAGCUUUCUCAAUAAUAUCUCUAUCACAAGUAUCUUUUAUGUCUAACCCAAUCUUCCAACCCUCACUCACAAACCUACUGUUAAUUGUUUGAUCACCAAAAUAUGGCCAACAAAUCAUUGGCACACCAACUACAAUACUCUCCAAAGUCGAGUUCCAUCCACUGUGAGUCAAAAACCCACCCACUGCCUCGUGGUUCAGAACUUCUUCCUGAGGAGCCCAUCCUACCAUGUAACCCCUGGCCUUCGUACCCUCCUCUAAUUCUAUUGGAGUUUGAUUCUUCACACCUUCCCCUACAAUUGAAUCUGGUCUCAUGACCCACAAGAACCUCUGUCCACUAUUCACCAAUCCAUGCCAGAAUUCCAGUAGCUGCUCUCUUGUCACAACUGUAAUGCUUCCAAAACUAACGUAGAUUACUGAAUUUGACGGCUGUGCAUUAAGCCAAUCCAGACAACUCCGGUCUUCAGCCCAGAAGCUUCCUGAAAGAACUGAAUUAUCGACCUUCUUCUCAGCCAGUCUCGACUUCAGGUGGGAAUGAUUUGGUCCAAUGGUGAAGACUUUUGGUAUGUGCUUCCGUAUAUGAGAUAUUAUUGACCCUUCUAGAUCUUCAAAAGUGUUAAAAAUGGCUGCUUGCGCUCUUGUGGUUUGUCUGGUCAGGGAUUUCAUCAUGUGAAGUUUUGGCUCAUUGAUGUCGUUGACACGGCAAAAGCUGGGCAAGUCACGGAUCCUUAGAAAACCUUCCAUUCCCG